rnacentral:lncRNA from 1 species
GAGCCCUAGGUUACAACUAUGCAAGAAAUCACCAAAUUGAUUCAUGAUUUAAGCAUCAUUCAUCUAGAUAGCAUGCUAGGAUUCCUCUAAAUCCAUUUAUAAGCUAUUUAACCCAACCAUUAAGGAUCUACCAUUAAUGGGCAAGGAGCUUACCUCCAAGAGCUUGCUCCAAAAUGAAGAAGAAGAUGAUGGUGUUGAUGAUUCCUCCAAGCUUCUUCUCCACCAAUUUCACCUCUUUUGGGAGAGAUUUAGAGAGAGAAAGAGAGGGUUUUCUCUUCUCCUUCCAUGCGUGCGUGGGUGUGUGUCGUGGGUGUGCACGGGUUGGGGCUGCACGGUUGAGGGAGAAGAAGCAUUUGCUUCUUUUACAACUUAACCCCUCAACUAUACACUAUUCACAUUAUGGGCAGCUUGAAAUCUGAUAAAUUUCGUUGGAGUCCUUCUGAAUGUCCGAUUGAGCUCAAAUUUGACAGGCAUGUUCGGUUUUACUUAAUAAGUCCAAAGAAAUUUUAAUAUUUCAGUUUCGACCCCGUUUGGUCACUGAAAACUGUACCGAACUGUAAUCUUUAUCAGAUAGCUGUCGGAUUUUAUUUUCCAUCUUCCGGGUGUCAGAAAAAUAUGAAAUUUUAAAUCUAGCCUCAUAAAAAUAAUUCUGACUUAUCCUCCAAUUUUCAUAAUUUUCUGAGACUGUGCAUUUUCUGCUAAUUUAUCUGUCCUAUUUCCAACAGAAAAUUCUAAAUCUCCUGUUUUCGCUCCGAUUUCAGCACAGGUCAUUCCCAACCUAUAUUUCACUUUUCUAAAUCCAAUAAAAAUAGUAUCUCAUACUAUUUUUAUUUAUUUUCAUUUUUAUAUUUAAAAUCCGGUAUGUUACAUUCCACCGCAACCUCACCGGAACCAUUUAAACGUAUACCGUAACUUCAUAAUUUUAUAAGUUCGGUAUGUUACACAAUUGGUGAAUUUAUAGGUCGACAUCCAAGCAUACCUCUUUCCUGGAGUAGAUCUAAAACAUAUUUUCAUUGUGAUAUGAAUAUACCCUUAUCUGAUCUUGCCACUUCAAUACCAAGAAAAUAUCGCAACUUUCCUAGGUCUUUUAUUUCAAAGUUUUUUGCGAGAUAAUCUCUAAGCUUGCUUAUUUCCUCUGAAUUGUUUCCUGUUACCACUAUGUCAUCAACAUAAACAAGUAGGAUAGUAAUUUUUCCAUUACACCCUUUUAUGAACAUAGUGUGAUCUGCAUUGCUCUGUUUAUACUCAAACUCCAACAGCGCCUUACUAAAUUUGUCAAAUCAAGCUCUUGGUGAUUGUUUCAAGCCGUAUAAAGCUUUUCUUAGCUUGCACACUUUUCCAACUGUCUUUUCUGUGGAGAACCUCGGCAGAAGCUCCAUAUACACCUCUUCUUUAAGGUCUUCGUGUAAGAAAGCAUUCUUCACAUCAAAUUGUUGUAAGUCCCAACCUAAGUUGGUAGCACAUGACAAGAGAAUGCGAAUAGAGUUCAAUUUUGCCACAGGAGCGAAGGUUUCCUGAUAAUCAAUUCCGUAAGUUUGCGUAAAUCCUUUUGCAACAAGUUUGGCUUUGUAUCUCUCAAUUGAUCCAUCUACUUUAAACUUCACUGAAAAAGCCCAUACUAUUUUUUUUCCAGCAGGUAGGUUGACAAGCUCCCAAGUUCUAUUUUUUUCCAAAGCCUUCAUCACCUCAAGCAUCGCUUCCUUCCAUUUGGGAUCUACAAUUGCCUCCUUCCAAUUUUGUGGAACAUAAACAGAAGAUAAAAGAUGACAAAAAAACUCUAUAUGAAGGAGGCAAUGAAGCAUAUGAAAUAAAAUCAGAGAUUGGAUGUUUAGAACGAUUUCUAACACCUUUUCUAAGAGCAAUAGGAACAUUGAGAUCAUCAGGAAUAGAGUUGAUAGGAUGCACGUUUGUUAAAGACUUACAGUGGUUUUGAAGUUGAGAAGAAGGAACUAGAUUCGGAGAUAACUCUUGGCUAGAUGGAGAGUGCAAGAUGACUUUAUUUCUCCUCUUCCUUGUGUACACUUGCCAUUCGCCAACAUUCGUCUCCUCAGCAUGUUGUCGUACUUUCUCCCCCUCAACUCUAUCCUCCCUCUUAACUCUAUCUUAUCUUUUUCUUUGUUCCUUUCAUUGUCUUGCAAUUCUUGCAGCUGUUCAAAUUCCUCCUCCGCAUUAUCUUUCUUAUUUUCCUCUUCAACUUGCUGAGACUCAUCAUCUUUCUCUUUCUCCUCUUCAGCUUGAGGAAACUUAAACAUGGAAGUCCAUCUUGGCACAUCAGUUGUACAUGUAUUCAUCUGUUCUUUCUCAGAUUGAUUUUCCCCCUCAAAAGAUGGACGUGAAUAGUACGCCUCAUGUUCCCUAAAUGUUACAUCCAUUGUGAUAAACGUCUUCCUUGAAGAUGGAUGAUNACCAUUUCUCUUAUGAUUCUUACGCAAAGUCUUAAUGGAUGUACUAGAACCUUAGAAUGUAGUUUUAUCAACACAAUUGUGGGGUCGUGUUUUACAUCACCUCUCUUUUUUAGCCGCAAAUGAACUCCAACGAGCAAGCAACGAUAAAAGGUACUUACAUGGUUUCUUAAUGACCCCACUACGAUAAAACAGCCGUCGCAUGAACUAAUUAGCUCACGGUGACGCCCGUUAGUUGAAGUUUUGGGGAGAACUUUUUAACAACCCAUGAUGAAUAAUAUGACAGGAAGGCUUUCAUAAACCCACAUAAACAAAACACGUACUAGUGGCUUCCUGUUUACUAUUCGAACUCAUAAGAUAUCACAGUGGAUUUAUCGAACCUUAUUAGAUCAAAAAAUUUUGAUUCUAGUACUAAAUUGGUUCUCUACCAUCUUAUGAAAUAGUUUGAAACAAGAAAACACUUCAUUCUUGUUGUGCAUUAGAUACACCCAAGUUGUACGACUGUAAUCAUCAAUGAAAGUAACAAACCAUCUAUAUCCAGAAAUAGAAGGCACCCUAGUAGGACCCCACACAUCUGAAUGAACAAUUUGAAAAGGAGAAUUGCUUUUAUUAUCACUAAUUGAAUAAGUAACACGCGUAUGCUUUGCAAGCUCACAAGCAUCACAUGUAAGAAGUUCAGGAUUACACUUCUGAAACAACUGAGGAAACAUUUUCUCCAUUAUUUGAAAAGAAGGGUGACCAAGUUGAAUAUGCCAUUGGAAUAUCUCUUGACAAGUCAACAUCACUUCAGUCUGAUGAGCAGAGAAUGAUUCUCAAAUACUCUUUCUGACUCUUCCUCAAGGAGAUAAAGCCCAUCAUGUACUUUAUCAAAGCCAAUCAUUCUUCCCAUCUCCAGAUCCUGAAAAACACAAUGGGAUGGAAAGAAAGUGACUUUACAAUUAAGAUCCCUAGUUAUAGCACUGAUAGAUAAAAGAUUAUUAGGAAAACUAGGAACGUGGAGAACUGAAGACAAGGUUAGAUCAGAAGUGCAAGCUAUAGAACCUUUGCCAGAAAUAGAAGAAAAUGAACCAUCGGCAAUACGAACUUUUUCUUUGCCUGAAGAAGGAAAGUAUGAUAAAAAAUGAUUUGACACACCCGUCAUAUGAUCAGAAGCACCGGAAUCAAUGAUCCAAGGAGAAAUAUUAUUCCUAACUGAAUGAAAAGCACUAAUGGACAUACCUGAAAGUGCAAAAUUAGAUGCAGAGGCAAUUGCAGUUGUAGAGGAACUAGAACUAGAAUCAAGUUUGGACAUCAAUUUUCUAAGUGUUUGCAGAUUUUCCUGAAAGAAGUUGUCGGAUCCUAAUGGAGUUCCCUCUUGAGAAUAAGGCUCCAUCAAUUCGGAUUGAUAUGCUUGCCUUCUUCCAGAUCCUCUCCCUGAUCCAUCUUUUCCUCGUCCUCUAGUAGGCCGUCCAUGAAGUUUCCAGCAUGUCUCGCAAGUGUGUCUUGUCCUCCCACAAUGAUUGCACAUGAGCUAGUCCUUAUCGACCACCACUCCCGGAGCACCUACUUUGCUCUGAUUUCCUGUUACGCUCCUUAAAGAAAAGUUUGUAAGCAAUGCUGAUUUAUCGGGAGUAAUUUGAUGUACCAUCACAUUCCUUUUGCUUUCUUCUUAUUGUAUAUAUGCAUACGCCUCUCGUAGCAAUGGGAAAAGGUCUCUUCCAAGCACUUGAACUCUUCCAAGCACUUGAACCCUGAUUGGAUCAAACUCAGGUUGAAGGCCUGCUAAAAAAUCAUAGAUUCUUUCUUUUUCCAUCAAUUUCUGGAACUUGGUUGUAUCUUCUAGACAUUUAGCAUGAAAAUCUUGAUAGUAGUCUAGCUCUUGCCAUAAACUGCUGAGUUCAGCAAAGUACUGCGCCACGGUCAUUUCCCCUCGCUUAGUCAUGUAUUUUCUUCCUAAUUUCAUACACAAGAGCAUCAUAGCCGACUUUAGAGUAUGUUUGAGCAGCAGCUGUCCAGAUCUUGUAAGCAGAAUCAAUGAACAAGUAACCACGACCAAUCGCUGAUUGCAUAGAAUUUAGAAGCCACGACAUCACAAGGGAAUUCUGACUCCCAUUGGUUUAUGAGAGGAUCCUUAUAUGCUGGCCUCUUCUUUCUACCUGUUAUAUAGUCUUGAAGGCCUCGGGCCUUGAUAAACAACAAACAGGAUUGAGACCAAGCGAGAUAAUUGUGACCAUCAAGGUUUGUAGGACUAAUCUGAAGAGAGGGACUAUCUAUCACCGACGCAACCAUUCUUGGUUCACUUCGAGUGGCAGUGGUCUUGCUUCCACUCACUUCCGAGUCCUCAGACAUAUCUAGGUGGUAGAAUUGCAACUAGCAAGAAUCAAAUCAUGAAGAAAGGUUCUAAUUGGAAUGCAUGCAAAUAGAACUACUCAAACCAUAAGAAUAUGAAUAGUUCUAUAACUGGCGCUAACAAGAGUUAUUAGAACCUCAAUUGGGAUGAUAAUAAUGGUUAUGGGGCAAGGACGAGGCUGAAGAUGAGAAGCUUGCAUCGGUGGAGAAGAGAUAGCAACAGUGCAGCGACCACAAGAAAAUAAAAACAACAGUGGGAUUUGGUGACAGCGGCUAUUGAAGAUGUUGGAUCGUGGAACGAUGGUGGCUAUUAAGAGUGACGGCAGCGAUAUGGGUGAGGCGUAACGGUGGUAGCAACCAAGAACUUGAUCGUGGAAGUCCUGGUUGUGGAGGCCCCGAUCGUGAACAAGAACGCAAUCGGGGCCCUAUCGAGCGUUCCUCUCAUCCUUUUUCUUUUCUUUUUUUUUUUUCAAUGGAGAUCUGGCUCUGAUACCAUGUUGGUAAACAGAGAAAUGAAGGAAAAAGGUAUUAGGGCUUAAUUUCCAUAACCCUAAAACCAAUAUAUAUAUUAUUGACAUUUUACAUAUAAAACCCUGAAAAGAAUAAAAAUUAUUAUACUAGUUAACUGGAACCAUGAUUUGUGAUAGUUAGAAUGUGAAGUUCAUGGAAACAAAUUAUGGCCCAAAUAUGCAUAUUUGGUCCCCUUGCAGUAUGCAUCAAAACUACAUUUAUUAACAAUGAAGGUUUUGUUCUCUCUUUUUCUCUCUCUCUGUCACGCCCCGAACCCGCUAACAAUUUGGUCCGGUUCGGGCGCGUCGAACAGACGCCGGACGGACAGCAUCUCCCUUGCCCGCCCAAGGCUCGACAACAGAAUCAUGUACAUAGAAUUGCUCAGGAAUAAUUCAAUUACCUACAUGAUAAGCACGGAGCACAACUAGUGCUAAAAAGUAAGAGCAAGAUACAAAUAUGCCAUACAAGUAAAUAAAGAGAGAUAAGACAUCUAUUACAUCCAUUCUAUCAUUCUUUUACAUCAAGUUUACAUUUUGUAACUUGCAAAAUGAAUAUACACAUGUUCCUCCAAAAUAUAUAAGCAACUCCCAAAGUAUAAAUACAUCAUAACUCUAGGUACUCGAGGGUACUCUAAUGCAAAAAUGGAAGCUGCUAUCUGUCUAGGGCGCUAUGCCCUUACCACGGUCCUCUGCCGGUGCUCUCUCGCUAGGCCCUGCAACAAAGUGGGGUGAGAACUAUAUAAAUAUAGUUCCCAGUGGGUUCGGCCGCCGACUCCGCCGAUCUCCCCACUAGGUCUAAGCAGGCAUAAGCAGAUAGAUAGAUAUCCAAAACUGUAAAUGAUGCAUAUUGAAAGGAUUGCAAUACUCUACUAUGCCUUGAGAUUCAAGAAUGAACAAGAUAGCCAUGCAUUCGCUAACAUGCUAUAAUACCAACGUCGAGUAUGGAUACAACUCUACAAUGCUCAAUAUGCACAAUAUGCCCAAUAUGCUCAAUUUGCAUAACUCUCUCUUGAGUUUAUUACCCAAUCAUCUGGCUGGCCCAUAGGCGUGCCCUCAACUCACAUCUCAAAUCCGUCUAUGAAGGGGGACUCGAACCAUCCGAGGGACUAUCUGCGGGACCCCACAUAGGCUAUCCCUUGGGACCCCACAUAGACUAUCCUAAUCGAUUCAAGUGCCAAACUCCGGAGCGCACUAUUUGUGCGGAGCGACCGCCACAAGCGCUGAACAGACGUGUGAGUAUAAUCCAAAUCCAUUCCUCGUCUAAUGAGGAGAUCCAGUCGCUAGGACUACUAUGCCACAAGUGUUCUUUAGCACUAAAUUCUAAUGCCACUCGUCAAGUUAUUUACUUGGUAUACAUGUGCCACUCGUCAAGUUGUUUAUUUGGUAUACAUGUCACUUGCCAUAUUGCAAUUAUCCCGACUAUACUAGUCAUAUAUCACUAUACUCAUCCAUGCUAGAUCAAGUUAUGGUUUAACUUAUCUCUAUAGGGUUCUAUGUCACAGAGCUCAUUCUCAUGCAUUCCUAAGCUCACAUGCCAAGCCUACUAUACUGCAUUACCAAGGAAUAUGCAAGAGUAGUAAAGUAACAUCUAAACACCCUACCAUGCAUGAUGCUAUAUAUAGAAUGUAAUCACAUAGAGAUACUUAGAUAUAGGGAGAAGCCCAGUUGCUUCGGGAUGGACACCCCCCACCUUUGUGGUGGUGUCGCGAUGCUAGGUACACUAUCUCGCGCUCCUUGGUCGCCGUUUUUACUCUUCGGGUCAACAUGAAGCCUCGAACACUUGUUUCGGCUAUAACUGCGCACUCGCUCGACGAAUGCUUAUUCCGUCGCUUCCCACGCGUUUAGACAUCUAGCAAUUAGGUUAAUACAUGAUCAAUUUAGAUCAAAAUCCUUCACUCUUAAAAACCCCAAUUUGGAGCCCUAGGUUCCAACCUAAGCAAGAAUCCCCUUCUAGCUUCAAGAUUCAAGCAUAAAGCUUCUAUUUGGCAUCAAAAAGAUCCAAUGGAACCAAUUCUAGAAGAUAAAAAUCCAUCAAGAUGGUUCUACCAUGAAAGCUCUCAUGAGCUUACCUCUAUAGCAAGCUCCAAUGGUGGAGAGGAAGAAGAAGAUGCCAAGGAUCCUUCUCCUAGCUUGCUCCUCCACCAAAUCCUCCUCCUUCUUCACCUUCUAGAGAGAGAGAAAGAGAGUUUAGAGAGAGAGGGAGCUAGGGUUAUGUUUUGGGAGAGAAAUGAGGGAGAUAGUGUUUUCUCUUCUAUACCCCUUCACUCAUGCACAUUUGCACAAAACAACCCCACUUUCCAAGCUAUACACUGCCCCAGCCUGGGCAGUUUUCGGGCACGGGGACCGGUCCCUCUAUGGACAGACCGGUCCCCGAGAGCAGCAUUUUCAGGCAAAGCUCUUCUGCCAGCUUUUACGCGUACGGGGACCGGUCUGUCCCACCAGCGACCGGUCCCCUAGAGCUAAACUCUCAGGACUUGGCCAAAUUUUCUUCCUUCUCACUGGUUGCGCGUACGGGAACCGGUCUGUCCCACCAGGGACCGGUCCCCGAGAGCGGACAUGGUAUGCAGAGAUUUUUCUGCCGCACCCCUGCUUACGAGAACCGGUCCCCCACACCAGGGACCAGUCCCCGAGAGCAGAAAUUUUUUGACUUGCAGAAUUUCACAAUCUUGCUCUCCGAGGUCCGUUGCAAUGCACUUUUCGCAUUAUUAACUUCUUCGGCUUUUCCGAAGCACAUCCACUCGACAAUUAGUCGAUUCUGAACGAAGUCGAACUCUCGGAUUUCAAGAAUUCACUUCCUUACACUCUCUCUCUCGUAUAGACUUAAAUUUAAAUUUAAAUAAAUUUAAACUGGUUUACAUUCAAAUGAAAAAUCCACAUUUGAAUUAGUAAUUCGUUGAUUUUCACUAUUCAAUUUCACCCACAAGUUGAAUUUCAAAAUUUAAAUUAAAUUUAUAAAUCAAACUUAAAUAAAUUUGAACUAAAAUUGUUAAAAUUGACUUCAUAUUUGAUUCAAAAUUGAAUUCAAAUUUGAAUUAGGAUAAAAAAUCGAAAGGCGACUUACCAUCUGCUAAACAUAAGUAAUGAACAGUGGAUAUCCCUUUUAAUUAGCAAAUUUGUCUUGAAUUGCCUUGAAGUUCAAUCUAAGCUAUCAAAUCUAACUAUAGUUUUAUAUUAUUCAAUUGAACAGUCUUGCCUGGCUCGGUCUAUCUCGUAUGCGUCUCCGACUUGGCUGCACAGAUAUGGAUUGUGAGCUAGAUUAGUACUUUAGGGGUGAUCAACUAGGUUGGUAUACUAUCGGUAGCACGGAGGCCUUCAUACUACCAAGUUGUUUUCAGUGAUGUGGCUUCCAAAUCGACGAUCGAUUCUGUUAGACUUAAUCUACACUAUUAAAAGUAUUUGGAAACUAAAUUUCAUAAUUUUUCGACAUCAUUUGGCUAGUGAUCAAAAGGUCUCAAAAUUGACAAUUUUAAUGGUAGAUGUGAUGCGUUUGUGAAUUUAACGGUGUAAAACAAUCCAAAUCUGAUGAAAUUUUUAUAGAAAAUUUUUUUUCACUAUUUAGAGUAAGAUUAGUAUCUCUGAUCUUAAAUUCAAGUCUUUUAUCAUCAUUUUUUAUGAGAUUUUUAUUUUUAGCCGUUCAUUUUUAGACUACUUGUUUGGUAGGAAAAUGAUACCGAAAAAUUAUGAAACUUAGUUUCCAAAUACUUUUAGUAGUGUAAAUCAAGUCUAGCAGAGCCGAUCGUCGACUUGGAAGCCGCAUCAUUGAAAAUAACUUGGUAGCACGGAGGCCUCCGUGCUACCGAUAGUAUACCAGCCUAGCUCUCUAUAUAUAUAUAGAGUUCGGCUACUAUACUUUUAUGAGUAUUGGCUCCCUUAUACUCAUAAGUUUUCGGCCCUUAGAUUUAUUCCAUUGACCAUUUUCACCCGUUAGAUCAUACUAUUCAACCAACUACGCACUCAACCCUAGGGGACCACUAUAAUUCUAAGUAGGGACAACCAUCAUCCUAACCACACAUCCUAUCAAUCAAUGGUUAAAAAUUUAUGAGUACAAAGGGGUCUAUACUCAUAAGAGUAUAAUAGGCAUAUAUAUAUAUAUAUAUAUAUAUAUAUAUAUAUAUAUAUAUAGAGUUCGGCUACUAUACUCUUAUGAGUAGAUCACCCUCGUACUCAUAAGUUGUUUUCGAUGAUAGAGCUUCCGAAUCGAUGAUCCAUACCGUUAAACAUUAUCUAGAGCAUUUAAAACUUCUAGAAAUCAAAUUUCAUAAUUUUUCGACAUCAUUUACUUUACAAUCCAAAGCUCACAAAAUUGACAAUUUUAACGGCCGGUAUGGGAUACUUGCUAGUUUAACGGUGUAAAAGAAUUGGAAUAGGAUGAAUUUUGAUAGAAAAUUCUAUUCACUACCUAGAUUGUAAGGUACCGGACUUCUAAAAUCAUGAAGUUACGGUGUACAUUUGGUUAGUGAGCUAUUAGAAUGGUUCCGGUGAAGUUCGGUGAAGUUCGGGAGCAUUCGGCCGUUUCGGUGCGCUUAGGCGCGGAAACGGAAUCCGAAAGGCUGUGUUGGGCCGUGAACUAAAUUCGGCAUUAGCGUGGAUGUAAAGAUGGUGAAAAUACGCUUGAAAACAUGUUUGGAGAGUCUCGGUUUGAUUUGAGAAGAAUCGGAGGUCAAACGAGCGAAAACGAGUGAAAACGGAGCGAAACCGGACGAAGCUGAAAUUUGGCUAAGUCUGGGCUGAAGGUCCCUCUGGGACCGGUCCCUGGUUGGGAGAAACCGGUCCCAGGCUGGAAAAGACCGGUCCCCGAACGCGAAAAUUGCCCAGUUUGGGCUGUUGUGAGGGAAGCAUUGUUGAGGGUGUUUUCUGCAAUUUUGCACUUAUGAGAGGCUAUAGAUGCAUGGGUUCUCGCUCUCCUCUCAUUUCUCUCAACCCUAACACCUUAAAACUCUCCCUCUCUCUCUAGAAAGAAAAUGAGAAGAAGAAGAGGAAGGAGGAGGAGAUUUUGGUGGCGAUUGAGACCAAGAGAAGAAGUAACAUCAUCUUCUUCUUCUUCUCCACCAUUGGAGCUUGCUAUAGAGGUAAGCUCACUAGAGCUCUCAUGGUAGAUCCUUCUAGUUGGGUUUUUAUCAUCUAGAAUUGGUUCCAUUGGAUCUUUUUGAUGCCAAAUAGAAGCUUUAGGCUCGAAUCUUAGAGCUUGAAGGGGAUUCUUGCACCGGUUGGAACCUAGGGUUCAAAAUGGGGGUUUUGGGAAAUCUAGGGUUUUGAUCUAAAUUGAGUGGUUGUAAACCUGAUUGCUAGGUAUUCGAACGCGUUGGCGAAGUCGGUUCGACGAUUCGUCGAGCCGGUGCGAAGAUAUUGAAGAAACGGACUAUUGAGCUUCGUUUCCGCCUGGAGGGCCGAGACGGCGUCCAUAAAUCGCGGGAUCGAAUUCCGAGCAUCGUAACAAGAAACUGAAGACCUUUAAUUUUCGGAUUGCGAAUCGGAGGUCAUUCGGUGGUCGCGCGUGAAUUGGGUCGAGCCGAGCGGCGUGCGCCGCGGGAGGCCGAUUGCGAGUGACGACGAGCAAUCGGAACGCUAUAAAAGGUGGGUGGUGACCAUCCCGAAGCAGUUGAACUCCUCCCUAUGUCUAAGUAUUAUGGUUGAUCAAUUAUGCAUAUUGAGCAUGAUGCAUUAUAGGGUGCUUAAUUAGUUGUUAUAUAUUCUUGCAUGCUAGAGGUAGUGUUGUAUUACUUGUUUAACACUUGAGCUUGUAUGCAUGAGAUUGGGAUAUAUUGAUUAGAAACCCUAUAAUGAGAUGGUAAAUGUUGACAUGAUCCUUAGUAGUGUAGCAACUUGAGUUUGGCACUUGACUUAGGAUGCAUAAGAAUAGGGGAAUUGUGACCUAGAACCCUAUAGUGGUAAAGUAAGUAAUGAACUUAAUCUUAUGUUGACGAGAACUAAAGAACGAGUGGCAUCUAGAUAAGUAAAUAACUUGACAAGUGGCAUCUAGAUAAGUAAAUAACUUGACGAGUGGCAUCUAGAUAAGUAAAUAACAUGAUGAGUGGCAUCGGACUUAGUGUAGUUGACACUUGGUAUUGAACAUAGGGAUAGGUGAAUUUCCCUAGUUACGGUUUGGUAGAGAACCUAAAGAGUUAUGUUGUUAACCCUAGAUGGUAGGGUAUCCUCAGUGAUGGGGAUUUGAUCGUACUCAUAUGUCUAUUUGAAGCUUGGUGUGGUCGCUCCACACAAGCAGUGCACUCCGGAGUUGUCACACGAUAGGGAUAGCCUUUUUGGGUCCCGAGGGAUAGCCUUUUUGGGUCCCGCAGACGGCCUCGGGUGAGUGAGUAGAUUCUCACCAUGUGUGAGCGGUUCCUCACCUACAAGAUUGAGAGUUGGUUGAGUGAGUAAUUCUCACCAUGUGUGAGCGGUUCCUCACCUACGAGAUUGAGAUUUAGUUGUGGUACCUAUAUUGAGAGUUGGGCGAGUGAGCGGAUCCUCCCCUUUGAGAUUAGGUUGAGGGAUAGCCUUUUUGGGUCCCGCAGAUGGUCUUGGGGUGAGUGAGCGGAUCCUCACCAAUGUGACUGAGAGUAGGUGUGGCACCUAUAGGAUAGCCAUGGGAUUGAGACGUGAGAUUGAAAGCGAGCCUCCGGGCUAGCCGAGUGAUUGGGUAAACUAUUGAACCAGUAUUUUUAUUGAGUAUAGUUGCUUGGUAGUUAGCCUGACGGAUUUACCUUCAUACCGUGAGUGGACAUACUAUUCCUUUACCUAUGAGAUUUGAGCGGGGUAGCCCUGUACCUAGUAGAGUGAGAUGUGAGUCGGGCGAGGAGCGGGGUAGCUCUUUGCCUGUGACCUUCGAGAUAUAAGUUUGGUGAGAUAAGAACAGGGUAGCUCUUCACCUACAGAAUUUGAAGUCUUAGGCAGGGUAGCCUAAUGGAUUGGGUGAUUUAAUGAACCUCAUUGUUGAACAUAAUAGCUAGUUCUUUUACUAUGAGUUGCAUGCAUGCAUGUUUACAGAUUGAGGCAUGGUAGAGUAUUUUCAUAUCUACUUAUGGUUAUCGCUUUUUAAUCAUCUAUCUAUCUGUAUAUCUAUCUAUGCCUGCUUAGACCUAGUGGGGAGAUCGGCGGAGUCGGCGGCCGAACCCACUGGGAACUAUUCGUAGUUCUCACCCCACUUUGUUGCAGGGCCGGGUACUAGCGCGCCGGUCGAGGAUCGUGGUAAGGGCUUAGCGCCCUAGAGUUGGUAGCAUACCUUCCUAUUUUGCAUUAGAGCUACCUCGUAUAUACUUGAGAGUAGAUGAUGUAUAGGUGUGAGGUAUUUUGCGAAAUUGUAAACCUUAAGUUUAUGUUGUAUUUUGGAAGAAUGUAAAGUUAAUCAAAUGUAUUAAAGUUGAAUGGAUGUAAUAGUUUAGUAUCUCUCUUUUAUUCACUUGUAUAUGCUUUACUUGUGAUGCUUGCUUUUUAGUUAAUUAGCACUGGUUGUGCUCUCGCUAUUGUUUGAUUGUGUAUGUAAUCAAGUUGUUUUCCUGGGCACUUGUUGUACACGAUCACGUUGUUUAGCCUUGGGCGGACAGGGGAGGUGCUGUCCGUCCGGCGUCUGUUCGACGCGCCCGAGCCGGACCAAAUUGGUAGCGGGCUUGGGGCGUGACAUAGAUAAAGAUCAAUAACUCCGAUCUUAAAUUGAAGGAUCCGAUCAUCUAUUUUUAGGACGUUGUUCGAUUUUGACCGUUCAUUUUAUGCUCGUUUGAUGGACUUUAUUAUGAUUUCAAAAAAUUACGAAAUUUAUUUUUUAGAAGUUUCAAAUACUCUAGAUCAUAUUUAACGGAGUGGAUCGUCGAUUCGGAAACCCCAUCAUCAAAAACAACUUAUGAGUACGAAGGGUCCAAUACUCAUAAGAGUAUAGUAGCCCUACUCUCUCUCUCUCUCUCUCUCUCUCUCUCUCUCUCUCUAUAUAUAUAUAUAUAUAUAUAUAUAUAUCCUGAGAAGAAGAAUAUGAGAGUCUGGAUCGAGACUCAAGUACAAAAUGGAUGAUCUCAGAGAGACUCAAUUGGUUAACCCUCAUAUAAGAUAAUUUACUCUACAGGUGAUUUAUAUUACUCUGGAUAAUUAACUGAUUUUUGAUGUUACAUAUUCGAUGUGGGUAAUAUAUCACCCUUAGAAAAGUGUCUACACACAAACGAGUACUCUUUCAUAUAGCUAUUCUAAACAUAUUGUGAGUCUAUCAUCCUUGCAUCCAAACAGCCGCUUAAUGUUAAUCCCUCUGAGCUCUGUUUGGAUGUUAGAACAACUUAUCUACCAAUAACUUAUUCAAUAUAGUUCCUUUUAUGUUAUUGCAACCAAGGAGUUCGCUCUUAGUUCUUUCAAAGUCCCGGUACACAUUGUUUUUUAGGAUAAUUUGUCCCAUGUACUCUGUGAUUUAUCGUAUUUUGAAGAAAAUAACUUGAUGUGUGUACUAGAACCAUUGUCGAUAUUGUAAAUUCUUUGCUAUUGUUGAUGUCUAAAUCAUCAACUAUUUGCUAUGAAGAAGCCCUAGAGUAAACAGAAUAGAUGUUUCAUAUUAAGAUGUUCUGGCAUCCUAGCAUAUGCUGGGUCCUUUUAAGUUGGACCCUAUGUAUCAUUUCCCAACAGGUUCUAGAUUAGGUGGCACCAUUAAGCAAGUAAAAGCCGUAGUCCCAGAUUCAUGGUGCAGAAAUGGCAAGUAUGCCAAUGUUUCAAGUGGCUAGGCCAGUAUAGGCUGGGAGUGCUAUUUUGGAAUAUCCUUUACAUUCUAAGAUACAGUUGUUAAGAACGUCUGGAGCAUGUUUGUUUAUCUGUUUUGUUGAGUGAUGAAGUUGUAUGGGACCAGAUAUAUCCAUAGAAAUAAUAUAUUUUGAUGUGUGUUUGUCUCAUUAUGCACCGGCGAAAUGUAUGGAAUAUAUCUUAUUUCAAGUAUUCUAUCUUUUACCACAUUUGUACAUAAUGAUUACCAUCAGUUUUAAAGAAUUAAGUGUUGAUAGAGUCUAGUAUGGUUAUCGCUAUCAUUCUACGUAUUAACGUGGGCUGAACUUUCAGGAAGUGUUUGACAAGGACACUUUCAGCAAUGAUGAUCCGAUGGGCAAUGCAGAGUUUGACAUCCGCCCGUUUGUUGAGGCUGUGAAGAUGAAUUUGCAAGGCAUUCCGAAUGGUACCAUCGUAAAGAAGGUUGUUCCGAACAGGCAGAACUGCUUGGCUGAGGAAAGUGCCAUAUAUUUUUCCGAGGGAAAGGUCAUUCAAGAUCUCGCUCUCAGGCUGAGAAAUGUAGAAUGUGGCGAAGUUGAACUGCAGCUGCAAUGGACCAGCAUACCUGGUUUCAGGAGCUUUUAAGCUUUCUAAUAUAUAAUAAUAUAUGCACGUGUGGUAUGGAGUUUGUUGUGCGAAGACAUGUAACUGCAAUACUGGAAAGCAUGAUAUGUGAGAUUUGGGUGUUCUGCUACUACCGCCUGUAAAUAAAGUUAUGAUUGAAAAUUUAUGUUAACAUCACGCCCGCUACUCUUUUGUGUUUUCUUCUUGAGAAAGCAUUUUUAAGUGUGCUUAGCAUGAAUUCCUCAUGACUAUAAGCGGGAGGAGCAGCAAUUCUAAGGUAGUUCGAUCCAAAAAUUCAGCUGAGUAGAUGUUCCCCAUGUAGUAGUAGGUUCAAAUAUCCAAUGGAAAUGGAUCAGGGCGAUGCUGCGGUUCUUUUUCUAAGGAAUGCGUAGUGAUUGGAAGAUCCACGGUACGGUACCUAUGAUAAAUAAGAUAGACAACUAUCCAAACUGAGUUACACUGAAAGGAAAUAUUUGAAGUUAAAAAUGCCACCAAAUGUUUGUUUGCUGAUCUUUGUUUUUAUGGUCGGCAGAAAUUAGGUGGUUGCAGCAUGAAAUUAGCAACAUUAAUAUUACGUGAUCAAAAGCUAUCUUCUUGGGGCUUCCUUGGUGGGGAUUGGUUCUUGACGUUCUAAACUAAAACCUUUUCAAGGAAACUUGAAAUGCUUCCAUAACAUGAAAUCCGGCAAGCAAUUCAUCGAGUAAAAGAAUAGAUACUGAAUUAAGUGACCAAAGCUAAAAUGGUCUGAAGAAUAAUAAGUAAACGUGAACCCCAGCCCCAAACCCACCUAGGACCACCGCUUGCAUCAGUAACAAUGUCCAAAUGUUAGAACAUUCAUGUGGGUUUAAAUAGCUACAGGGGAUUUGCGAAAACACAAGAUUUGCGUGAUUUCCGACGCGACCUGUGCAUAAAAUGCAACGAUUGAAAUCAUAAUUUUUAGCCAGUAAUAUUUUUUAAUUUAAGUUACAUGGCUGCUGUUCUGAAUUUGGUCGCUAUAUUCUUCCUGUAUGUCUUGGUGGCGCAACACAAAACUUAAUCAAACUAGCUAAGGACCUAUUUGGAUACACUAUAAAACGUAGCGUAGUUAAACUAUGCUAUAUCUAUCGAAAAAAAGAAAGAGGAGGAGGAAAAUAAAAGGAAAGAAAGAGAAGAAGAACAUAGUUGAGAAAAAGAAAGAGAAGAAGAGGAAGAUAGAAAGAAAAAAGAAGAGGUUAUAGAAGAAAUGGGUGUAGACUUUUCUUGUCAAACCCUCAAUCGAAGCUUCCACUUCGGCUCUUAUGCAAGCAUCCGAGUCGACAGAUCUAUUGGCCAUUUCUCUUCAAAACUUGACCACUUCCAACCCAAAAUCUCAUGAGGAGGAAGAUUUUCCCACCAUUACUUCGGCUGAAACUCAAUAGAAGUUUGACGAAUGUUUAAGAUUAUACAGUAGUGGUCUUCCGACUUUGGCUUGAAACUUGGAGCAAUGUGAUUGGCUUGGAGCACUCCUAGAUCUCCUCGAUCAGCCUGAUCUCUCCUCAGCAGGUAAGUGUUUUGCAGAGAGUUUAUCUUCUCAGUUUUAUUCCUUCUUAAUACGACAACAGACAUUUUCUGCCGACUAUUUAGCUUUAUAUCAUCACUUCUCACGAGUCGGUCAUUUCAAGAUGAAAAUCCCUGAAGUAACAGCUCCAAUCUCCACCCUGAGUAAUCAAGACAUUUCUCUAAGAGAUUAAGAAUCGGCGCUUCAGCAACGCAUUAUCAAUCUUAAAGAAGAACUUGCUGCAACUGAAACAGUCUUGGCCUAGAUAUCCGAGCAAUGUGCCAUUGUGUAGGCUUAACUAAAGGCCAAAAAAGAUGAAGGGGUGUCGCUACGCGACCAACUCUCCCACCUUUACAAACUCCACCCUAUGAUGAAGCAGAGAAAGUGAGCAGCCGAUCUUGCUCAAUCUAAUCUGGAAACUGAAUGGAUUCAACUUAAAGACUUAAUACUUUGAUUUUCCUUGGUUUUCCAUUCUCAAAUUGGCUGUAAUAUAUUUUAACAUUUUGUACUUAUCUUGUUUUGAAUUUUAUUCAUUUUCCCAUAUGGAUGGGUAGUACUUUUGUAAAUAUUUUCCAUUGAUUGGCCUGUCAUUUUCUGACCCGCCUAAUAUCUUUCCGAAAUAUGCAUUGCCUCUUAUAACUUUAUAUAUCUGGAAUGGUCUUUCCCAAUUUGGAGACAAUUUCCCAUUCACUCGGUCUUUCCGACCGAUUGGAAGUAUUAACCUUAAGACCAAAUCUCCAACAGAAAAAGACUUAGCCUUAAUUGUUUUAUUAUAUGCAUUGUUUACUCAGCUCUGAUAAACUUGCAAAAUGAUCAAGCGCUAACAGUCGAACUUCAUUUACUUUCAUCUAACUUCUCCUUCAUUAAAAUUUCAUAUUCUUUUGCCAUCAACUCUUUUUGUCCUUCGACUCUUAAAGAAGGAAUCAUGAUUUCGGUAGGUACUAUAGCUUUGUGACCAUAGACCAAUCGAAAUGGUGUAAACCUUGUCGCUGUUUUGACAGUGUUUCAGCACUCCCACAACACCUCUGAGAGCUUCUCGCUCCACUUCCUUGGAUGUUUUCCAAUGUGCCGUUUCAUAAGAUUUAUAAUAACUUUAUUCACUACCUCGGCCUGUCUAUUGGCCUGACCGUAAUAAGGAGAAGAAUGAAGCAACUUGAUUUUUCUUGAUUCUACAAACCGUGAGAUGUGAACAUCAUUUCUUGAUCGGUUGUAAUCAUUUCGAUGAUUUUGAAAUAGUGAAUGAUGGAGUCUUCCGCAAAGUCUAUGAUACCUUCCUGAGUGACCAGUCUUGUAGGUGUCACGCCCCGCGCCCCGAGGCCGCUACCAAUUUGGCACGGUUCGGGCGCGGCGGGCGGACCGCCGAACGGACAGAGUCUCCCCUGUCCGCCCAAGGCUAAACAACGAGAUCAUGUACAACAAGUCGCCAGGAAAUCAACUUGAAUACAUACAUGAUCAUGCAACAACAGCGAGAGCACAAACAGUGCUGAACAUUACAAGAGCAAGCGUCACAAGUAGAAGACAUACAAGUGAAACAAAAGAGAGAUACUUAACUAUUCUAUUACAACCAUUCAGCUCGAUACAUUUAAUUACAACUUGCAUUCUUUUCCAAACUAUGAAUAUAAGCUUACAUUCUUCAAAAGAUAAACAUUAGUUUACAUUUAUCUCAAAAUACCUCACAUCCUAUACAUCAUCUACUCUCAAUACAUGUAUAGGGUAACUCUAAUGCAACAUAGGAAAGUAAACUAUCAAAUAGCACUAGGGCGCUAAGCCCAUAACGAGAUCCUCUGCCGAUCCGCUCUCGUGUGUACCUGUACCCCAAAACCACACGGGGUGAGAACUAUAUAAAUAUAGUUCCCAGUGGGUUCGGCCGCCGACUCCGCCGAUCUUCCCACUAGGUCCAACCUGGCACAGAUAGAUAGAUAGGAAGAUAUAUGGAAAUACUACUACUAUAUCUAUUAUGCCAUCAAAUGCAAAGUAUGCAUGGAACAUCAUCUAGCAACAAUCUACUAUCAUGCUAAUAUGCCUCAACAGUGAAAUAAAUACAACAACAACAUAGUUAUGCAAUGCACUAUGUCUAAUCAAGGUAUGAAUGCAAUACUCUUAUGCUAUUCAUGUUAUUACCCAAUCCGCUAGGCUAACUUGCCUAAGAUCUCAAAUCUAGUAGGUGAAGAGCUACCUCACUCUUGUCUCACUCGACUCAUAUCUCAAAGGUCUGACCCAAUCUCGUGAGUCCCAGGCAAAGAGCUACCCCGCCCCUCGCCCGACUCACAUCUCAAGGUCCUAGACAAAGGCUACCCCGCACUUUGCCCGACUCACAUCUCGACCUACUAAGUACAGGGCUACUCCACUCAAAUCUCAUAGGUGAACAACAGCAACAACUAUGAAAGCAAGCUAUCAUGAACAACAAUAAUGAGUAUGACUCAAUAGGUACUCAAAUCUCAUAGGUGAAGGAAUAGUAUAUCAUGAAGGCAUGAGCAAUAAGUAAGCUACUAUGAACACUAGUAAGCUACUAUGAACAACAACAACAACUAUGGAAGCAAGCUAUCAUGAACAACAAUAAUGAGUAUGACUCAAUAGGUAACCAAAUCUCGUGGUGAACACAAGGUUCACAAGCAAGGCUCACAUAUCAAUCUCCUAGAGAUGCCUAGCUGGUCGAUCCCCGAGUACGCCUGCGGAUAACAAGCGGCUAUCCGAGCAGCAAGCAGGGCUGCCUCUCUAGUGACCAAACUCCGGAGCGCACAACCUGAGGGGAGCGACCCCACCAAGCGCAGACAGGCAAUGUGAGCGUGAUCAUCUCACGAGCAACAGCAACCUACCCUCUAAGGGUAAUCUCAUCAUGGAAUCAAGGUGUUCUUGUACCCAAUCUCAUAGUGUUUCAACUACACUAAGGUUCUCAUGUCAAGGUUAUCAACAAUCAUAUGCCACUCAUCAUAGUUUUCUAAACUAGAUGCCACUCGACAUUUAGACUCAUUUCAACACUAGUUACAUCAUACUAGUUCUUUAGCAACAUAAGCAUUAAUCACCUCACAUAGGGUCUAGGUCUUUAUCAUAAAGUUUUCAUCAUAUAAUCAUCAUGCAUACUAGAUCAUGGAUCAAUCAUCAAGAUGUAUAGCUACUAGCAUGCAAAUAUGAGCAAUGACCACAAUCAUUUAGCAUCUAAAUGCAAUAAAUACGAUAUGCAACUUGAUCGAUUAAUGUACUCAACUAAGGUUUAAUCUACAUUAAUCAUGCCCUUAUAGGGUUUCACCACACUAAGUCCCAAUCUCAUGCAUACUAGGUACAAGUAUUAAUCAAGUAACACUACAUCUCUCAUAGAUGCCAUGACAUUAACAAUUGCCAACUAGUACCUAUAAUGCAAUAUCCCAAUAUGCAACUUGAUCAAUGUUAACUAGAGUUUUCUAGUACAACAACAAAAUCCAUUACUAGUUCAAGUCAUAUGUGUUUUUAGCACAAUAAGUUCAAUUGCCAUUGUAAACUAAUGUCUUUAAACACAUACACUAUGUCUAUUCUCUUCAUUUAGCAUCAUAGUUUACCAAUUGUCAUUUAUAAUCCUUAUGUCCAUUACAUCAUAAUAUCCAUAUCAUAGUACUAUAUUGAUCAUAAAAUAUCAUAUAAGGAUUAGGAAUGCAUGUAUUGUCAUUCUAUAAUGCAUAGCAACAUACAAUAUGCUACAUGUGAACGGAUAAGCACUAAGACAUAGAAGAAGCCGAUGACUUCGGGAUGGCACUCCCCACCUUUUACAGCGUUCGAUUGCUUGUCGUCACGUGCAAUCGGCCUCCCGCGGCGCACGCCGUCGGGUCUCGACCCAAUCCGCGCGCGACCACCAAACGACUCUCCGAUCCGUAAUCCGAAAUAUAAAGGUCUUCGGUUUCUUGUACGAUGCUCAAAUCCGUUUUCGGAGAUUUUACGACGUCCGCCGUGCGCCUCCAGGCGGAAACGAAGCUAACGUCCGUUUCUUUAAUAACUUUGUACCGGCUCGACGAAUCGCCGAACCGUCGCUUCCAACGCGUUCUAGACCUAACAUAUAGGUAAACAGAGGUUAAAAGAGAUCAAACCCACAUACUUUGAAAUUUAGCAAUUUUGAGCCUAGGUUUAUAACUAUGCAAGAAAUCAUUAAAUUGCUCUAUGAUUCAAGCAUACGCAUCUAUUAGGCAUCAAUGGGUUCCAACUAAAAUCAUUUCCAAAGCAUUUAGACCUAUCUUUAGAGAUCUACCAUUAAAGCCCUCAUUUUGAGAGGCUCUAGGUUUCAAUAGGUAAAAAUCCACGAUUAGAACUUAGGAUCUAAGCAUAAAUCAUCAUACUUAGCAUCUAGGAAAGCUACUAAUAUCAUUUCUAGAGCUUAAAACCCAAGCAAUAGAGAAAUGCUCAUUAAAGCUCUUAAAGCUUACCUUCAAGCAUGCUCCAAUGAGAGGAAGAAGAUGAAAUUGAUGAAGAUCAACUCCAACUUACUUCUCCACAAUCCAUUCCAUUUGGGAGAGAUUUAGAGAGAGAAAAUGGAGGCUUCUCUUUCUCCCUCUUUCCAUGCGUGUGUUGUGUGGCGUGUGCGUGUGUGGUGUGCGGCCGAAGGAGAUGAAGAAGCAUCAAGUCUCUUAAUAAUACCACCUCAAUAUCAUCUAGGCAACUAAAAAUUGAUAACUUCUCGCCGGAGCUCCCUGAAUGUCGUUUGACGCUCAAACUGACAGUCAUGUUCGGUGUUUACUUAGCAACUUAAACAGCUGACGAUCACUGUUUCAGUUUCGACCUCGUUGUGUCACUGAAAACUGUACGAACUGCAAUCUUUAUCAGAUAGCUUUCGGAUUUUAUUUCUCACUCAACGGUGUCGAAAAUAUGAAACCUUAAAAUCUAGCCUCAUAAAAAUAUUUCUGACUUCUCUCUGCCAAUUUUCAUAAUUUUCUGAGACUGUGCAUUUUCUGCUAUUUAUCUGCCCCUUUCCAACAGAAAAUUCUAAAUCUUCUGUUUUAAUUCCGAUUUCAGCACAGGUCAUUCCCACUUAUAUUUCACUUCUCUAAUUCAAUAAAAAUAGUAAUCUCAAACUAUUUUUAUUUAUUUCUAUUUUUAUAUUUAAAUCCGGUAUAUUACAUUACACCGCAACCUUACCGGAACCAUUCAAAUGGCUCUCCAACCAAAUGGACACCGUAACCUCAUGAUUUUAGAAGUCCGGUACCUUACAGUAGGUCUCGCUCAUUUGGUAAAAUAAUCCACUGCCACUAUCAGAAAUUUGUGUCCAGCCGAAGAGUUCGACUAAAUUUCUCCAAUUAAAUCCAUGGCCCACUCUCGAAAAGGCCAAGGUUUGAUAAUUGCAUACAUUUCAGAAGCUGGAACUCUCUGUAUAGAGCUAUGGAAUUGACAGUCCUGGCACCCCCUAGCAUAUUUUAUACAAUCUUCAUACAUAGUUGGCCAAUAAUAACCUUAGUGCCGAAUGGUUCACCUUAAUCUCUUCCUAGCUAAAUGUGCUCCACAUAAGCCUUCAUAGACUUCGCCCAUGACUAAUAAGUCUUCCUCAGGUCCUAGGCAUUUCAUCAACACCUCCUCGGUUCUUUUUUUGUAAAGUUGUCCACUUAAUAGACAAUAGCCGAGUUGUAGUGUACCGAAUCCUCGGUGCGCUAAACCGAACUUCAGUCAAAUUGACCGAACUAUGGUAAUGGACGCUUUAGAGAGGUCCGUUGAAUGUCCGAAUGCUUCGGAAUACUUUAUAAGGGUGCAAGGGACCUUGGAGAGCAAGAUGGAGAAUUUCCAAAAUUUUUGUAUUGGAAUUGCUCUUGGGGUCCGAACCCUGCUUGUAGGGUCUAGAUCCCGUACACGUGAAAACGUGGGUUUUGUCAAACCUUGUUGUGUGAGGGGCUAGGGUGAAAAUGUGCAAGUGGGAAGCCUUAUAUGAAGGUAUCAUGUUGUUUUUCCCUUAUUUCCCCUCACACCCUCACAUAAGAGAGAGUUUCUCUCUCUCUCUCUCUCUCUCUCUCUCUCUCUCUAAACCCCCCUCUCUCUCUAGGGUUUGCUCCAAAAGGUGGAGUAUAGUGGAGAGGAGUUUGCUUGGAGGUGAAGCUACCUCCUUCUACACCCUUGGCCAUGAAGAGAGCUUGAGUUUGAGGUAAGCCUUGUGAUAUUUCAAGGUUUAUGGUUAGAGUUUUGUAUAAAUCCCUUAGAAAUGAGUUUUACUGGAACCCUAGAUGAUUCUAAUCUAUGUUAUUGCAUAAAUUAUCAUGGGAUUUGGAUUUUAUGCGGGUUUUUAGGGUUCCAAAAGAGGGUUUUGUGGUUAGUGGGUUUUGAUCUCAAUUGAUCCUAUGUUUCCGCAAUUGAAGGUAAAACUGACGGAGGAUCACUUGGAUUGAGUUUACGUUGAGCCGGCGGUGGUCAAUUGGAAGAAAUUGUCAUUUUUGCUUCGUUUGCCGCAAUCGGAGAAAUAGAUGACCAUAAAUCGCGUUGCUUGGCUUCCCGCUUCGUGACGACGACACGAGGUGGGGGGUGCUAUCCGAAUUAGCCGAAUUUCAUUCUAUGUCUAAGUUUUAGUUAUAUUGAUCAUAUAUCGUCAUGCAUUAAGUUAUGUGGGAAGCCUAUGAGUUCUUGGUAAAUUUAUGCUUAGAGUGAGGGAUGAUGACCAUGUUGCAUGAUACUUGUAGGUGCAUUAUUUGCAUGAUGUUGAGAUAGAUGUAUAUAUGUGUAUGCAUGAGAUGCUAGAGGACAUAUGCAUGUUGACAUAUUGUGAGAAUAUGUUAGAUUCAUGUGAACCAGAUAUGUGGACUUAUAGUACUUGGACAUAUGUAUGUGGACAUAUUCUGAGAAUAUGCUAGAUAUGUGCAUGAGAUGUUAGAGGGCAUGUGUAUGUGGACAUAUUAUGAUAAUUGGAAAUUAUUGCAUAUGUAGCAUAUUCUCACUUAUGAGAAUUGUGAACUUAUGGCAUUAUGAGAACUAGUGAAGCAUCCCGCGCUUCGCAGCGGGUAGAUAUCACAAAAUAAUAAAAUUUUAUAUUUCAAUAUAAAAUUGUAAUAUUUAUUAUAAUAUAAAUUUAAUAUUUUCAGACAAAUAAUAAAUAGAAAUAAAAUUAAAUAUGUGAAAAAAUAUAAUCAUAUUUGGUUGGACGUAAAACCGAACAAAAUAAUUAUUUUUAGAAAAAAUAUUUAAAUUGAAAUUAAAAUUUUGAAGUGUUACAUAAUUGUCAAAUAGAAAAAUAAUCGAACAAAAAAAAAUAGUUCCCAAAUAAAAAAUUCUCGAAUCAUAAAAUUUUUAGAGUAAAAAUUUUAUUUUUUUUAGGAUGAAAUAGCUCUCAAAUACUUUAUUGAAAAAAUUGAGAAAAAAGGUAAAAAUAUUAUUAUUAUUAUUAUUUCACAUUAAAGUAUAAUGCAUUUCUAACUUCAGAAACUGUAAGUCAACUUCAAAGUGGAUCUGUUGUGCUAAGAGUGCGUUAUGAACCGUGGCCGCCUGCCUGCUUUGGUUGGUGGGGGCAGCACCUCCGUUGUGGGUAAACGGGAAACCCGACUCUACGAACCCGAGGAAAGGCUGCACAGCUUCCGUAGGGGUGUUAAGACCGGAGCUAAGCUGAUAAUAUAUUUUACACUUAAUAUAUUAUUAUGACUAAAAUUAGAAUUAGAAAUAUUUGUUUACUCUACUCUUCUCUUUCUUCAAAGGAGGAGGAUAAUUAAUAAGAAGAGAUUGAGCCUAAUUAAUCUUGAACUCAAACGCCGCGCAUGUUCGCCGCUGACGCCACCCCCAAAGUAAAGAUCCUUUUUUAACAUUGGAAUCACAAUUGGGAAAAAAAAGAAAAAGAAAACAAAAAAUCAACCAAACAACACACUUUAGCAGAGUUAUUCAAUAAAAAUAUUUAAUCUCAUAAAACAUAAAAUAACAAAUAUUUAAAGAAGGGAAAGAAAGAAAAAGAAAAAGAAAACAAAAAAUCAACCAAACAACACACUUUAGAAGAGUUAUUCAAUAAAAAUAUUUAAUCUCAUAAAACAUAAUAUAACAAAUACUACUUCAUCAUCAGUGCCAAAAAUUAAAUGCAAGUCCAAAGGAUUAGCAAGUAUUAUUUCUUAUAAACCUCAUCAACACAAUAGUUCAGAUAUUUUUACAGAGCUUCAGAACAAAAGUAACCUAAAUCUAACAAAUAUUUUACCUUUUGUUCCCCUAAAUGGAGCUCAUAGAAGCUAAUACAACUAAAGAUUCCUUUUUUUACAUUGAAAUCACAAUUGGGGGGAAAAAAAAAAGAAAAAUCAACCGAACAAUACACUUAAGCAGAGUUAUUCAACAAAAAUAUUUAAAGGGCACUUCACAAAUCAUCAAAAAAUUUUAAAAAAAAUUCAAAACCCAUGAAAGAGGAGAUAAAACACAACAGAUCUACAGCAUAAAGUUGAGAUCUUUAGCUAGCAACAUCAAAAAGAUCAGAUGUAAGGGAAGUGAAUUCUCGAAACUCGAGGAUUAGACUUCGUCAAGAAUCGACUGAUUGUCGAGCGUGCGAGCUUCGGAGAGUCCGAAGAUGGUCAUAAUGCAUAAAGUGCAUUGAGGGAAUGUCCGCGAGAGUACCAGUGCAAAAGCAGCACUGGAGCAGAAAUGCUCUCGGGGACCGGUCCCUGGCAGGGAGGGACCGGUUCCAUCGGGCUGGGCUGCGGGGGUCUCUGAUGAGACCGGUCCCUGGCAGGCAGGGACCGGUUCCCGAACGUUGGCCCAGCGAGAGAAGCCGAAAUUUGGCUAAGUCCCGAAAGUGUUGCUCUCGGGAACCGGUCUCUCGGACAAGGACCGGUCUCCCGGGGACCGGUCUCUCAGGCAAGGACCGGUUCCCGAACGCGAAAUGUAAUAUACCGAAAAUUCGGAAAAUAAAUGUCGAACUUUAGUCAAAUUGACCAAAGUGCGAGGAUGGUACACUUCGGAAAGUCCGAAGGUAUUAAAAUGAGUAAAAGUGAGUUAUGGGAGGUUUUCGAGAGCUAAAGAAUCAAAUUCUGCAAAACUGCAGAUUUUGAGCUCUCGGGGACCGGUCCCUGGUGGGAGAGACCGGUCCCCGAACGCGUAUGAUGUGAGACAGCCGAAAAAUCGGCUAAGUCCUGAGGAGUUAGCUCUCCGGAACCGGUCUCUGUCUGAGAGACCGGUCCCCCGGAGACCGGUCCCACAAGGAGAGACCGGUUGCACUGCGCGCAGUAGCUCUGGCUGCGCUGGGACGACGUUCGGGAACCGGUCCCUGAAGGAGAGACCGGUCCCUGCCUGCGCGAUCCGCCCAGUUCGGGCAGUGUAUUAAAGUGAAAGUUGAGGGGUUUAGCUGCAAUUUUGCAACCCAAUAGGCUAUGUAUUAGGGUAAAUGAGAGAUUUCUCUCAUUUCUACCCUCUCAUUCCCUCUCAUCCCUCUUUCUCUCUCUAGAAGACAAAGAAGGAGAAGAAGAAGACAAGGAAAGGAGGGAAAAGAAGGAAAAGAAAAAGGAGAAGAAGAAGAGGAAGUGAAGAAAACCUCUCCUCUCCUUCUCUAGCUUGGAAAAGGAGCAAGUUUAAAGGUAAGCCUUGCCCCUUCUCAUGCUAAAUUCCAAACUAGGGUUUGGAUUAACCUAGAAAUGGUUUUAAGGGAGUAUUUGAAGGGUUUUGAAGCUUUCUUUUGCUUCUUAAGAGAUCAAAACCUAGAUUUGCUAUAGAGGUAAGCUUGGACCACCUCUAAUGGUGAAAUCUAAUCUAGGGUUUUGGAAAGCCUAAAAAUGGUUCUAAUGGACUAAUUAGAGUAUAAUGAAGCUACUUUUGCUUCUCUUUGAGAUCAAACCCUAGGUUUGACAUUGUGUAUUGGAGCUAGGGACACAAUUGGGCUUUUGCUCAUGAGGGUUUAUAAGUGCAAUUGACCUUUAGAACUAAUUGGGGGUAUUCCGACGCGUUGGUGCGCUGCAUUAACGUUACGAAAAACCGGAUGAAAGUUAUGGGCAAAAUGGCUAAGUUGCUUCGUUUUGCCGCAGGUAAAGAAGAAGGAUCUAAAAAUCCCGAGAAAAAUGUCGGAGCACUAAAGAGACCUACGAAGUGGUGUGGCUUUUCAAAACAUUGAAAUUUCUCUAUGCCUAAUGUGCAUCUCUUUGAGCAUAUGUUCUAUAUAUUGUUAUUGCAUUUUAGGUAAAGUAAUGAUAAUGUAUGAUUGCAUGAUUGUGAGCACAAAUGCAUAAUGAGAUGGUUGAGAACCUAAUAAUGUAGAACCCUAGAUGUGUGAGAUAAAAUGUGAGUACACAAAGUGAGCAAUAAGAACAGAGUGGCACAUGACAUAGAUCGAGUGCAUUUGAAAAUGUAAAGUAAGAGACACUAAGAUAGUGUGAGUAAAGACGCAAUUAAUGUAAAGAAUGCUGAAAUGAUAAUGCUUAAAGUUAACGCAACUGGGGAAGUAAAGAAGUGAAAAUGCUAGAGUACCAAAAGUAAAGAAUGUAAAGAUAUAAUACUAGAGUUAGCAAAAGUAAAGAAAUGUAAAGAAUGAUUGCAUGAGUUUGCAACAUGAAGUGAUAUAAUGAACACUAGAGCUGUGUAAAGUCAAUGAUUGAACUUAUAGUAUUUGAUUAAGGAUAUGAUCAUGCUUGCUAUGAGUUCCGUGCUCGAGGCGUGUCCCCUCGAGCGAUGCGCUCGAGUUAUGAGCUCGGGUGGAGUAAACCGACGGCGGUCCUAGCUGGUGAGAUUCUGCGAUGAGGACUUAAUAGUGUAAGCAAGUUAAUGUGGCGAAGCCCCCGGUUAGCUUAAUGAUUAAAGAACAAAGAACAAAGAACAAAGAGCAAAGAAUAAAGCACAAAGCACAAAGUAAGUCAACAGAAUUUAAAGAAUUUGCAUAAUCUGCAUUUAUUUAAUGUGAGCAUACUUCUUCUUAUUGUUCAGGCAUAUUAGCAUCAUGUAUAUAGAUUGGUUAUAUACAGCUUAUUCUUUUACUAUGCCUGAGUUAGACCUAGUGGGAAAGUCGGUGAUGUUGAGGCCGAACCCACUGGGAACUUUGUUGUAGUUCUCACCCCACUAUUUCCACAGAGCCGGGACCGAGCGAGCCGGCGAGCGACCGAGGUAAAGGUAUCGCGCCUUAGUAAGAGGCCACCAAAGUUGGGUACAUUUUGUUAGCAAACACGCUUUUGUCAUCUUUUGUAUUUGAUGAUUAGCAAUGUGAAGAAAAGAAUGUAAAGCUUAUUUUGAGGUAAACGUGAUGUAAGAAAGAAAUGAUGGAAUUAUGUAAUGAAAUGUAAAGAAUCCUAAAUGUAACAGAUGGAUGCAAUGUAUAUGAUCUAAUAUGAAUCAUAGUACUUGUGUAGAAGUUUAGUUUUCCUAUCUUUCACUAAUGGCUACGGCUUACCCUCGUGUAAGCCGUUUGUGUAUGUUUCCGCUAGUGCAAUUCUUGUUUGAAUUUUGCACAUGUGAUGAGCCUUGGGCGGACAGGGGAAACUCUGUCCGUUCGGCGUCUGUUUGACGUGCUCGGGUCGGGCCAAAUUGGCAUCGGUCUCGGGGCGUGACACGAAAUCCCCUCUGCCUGUUGUGUAGCUUUCGGGGACCGGUCUCCCCGAGCAGGGACCGGUCCCUCACUGCGAAAAUAGCCCAGGGAGGGCUGUUUCAAGAAGUGAAAAGUUGAGGGGUUUAUUUGCAAAGUGGCUUAUAAGAGAGGCUAUGGGACCCCUCUCUCUCUCAGUUGCCCUUUUCCUCUCUCACACUCUUUCCCUCUCUCUCUCUAGAAAGGAAAAGAAGGAGAAGGAGAAGAAGAAGAAGGAGAGGAAGGAAAAGAAGGAGAAAGAGAAGGAGAAGACUAAGAAGAAGAAGAAGAUCGUCUUCUUCUCUCCCUCUUCAAGCUUGGAGCUUGGUAUUGAGGUAAACCUCAAACCCUUUAAUGGCGGAUUUUGGAAGCUAGGGUUUUAUAGCUUGGAAUUGGUUCAAGUGGAACCUAUUGAAGCUAGGGAGAAGGUUCGAGCUCGAAAUCGAAGCUCGCACCGCGGAUUUCUCCAAUGUCGAGAUCUAGGGCUUCGAUUUGGGAUUUUGGCAAAUCUAGGGUUUUGAUCUAAUUUGAAUGGUCGCAAACCUAAUUGCUAGGUCCCUGAACGUGUAGGCGGAGACAGUUCGUCGAUCCGUCGAGUAGGUGCGAAGUUAUCGCCAAGAAGACCUUCGGAGCUUCGUUCUCGCCUAGAAGGCCAACGAGGCGUCGAGACAUCGGCGAAUCGCAAUCGAAGAGUCACGGCAUCACCACGAGGUGGGGGAGUGCCAUCCCGAAGCAGUCGGGCUGCUCUUUAUGUCUGAGUAUCAUUAUUGAUCAUUUACAUAUUGCGAUAUAGCAUUAUAGGGUGUUAAAUGUGAUUGUGCAUAUCCUUGCAUGCUAGUGAUGUUUUAGGUUGUGGAUACCAUGAAUGAAAACCUAGUAUGCAUGAGUUAAAUAUUAUGAGAUAGUUCACCCUAUAUAUGAUGAAUAUGUUUAUGUGAAUAUGAACCUAGUGUAUUAGAAACUAGUGUAUCAAGAACUUGUCAAGAGAACGAGUGGCAUCUAGUUAAUCUUAAACAUUGAACGAGUGGCAUUAAGUAGUGCAAGAGCGGCAUGAGGACAUUAGUAUAGUGAGAUACUAUGUUGCUAUCACCCCUGGUUGGUUAGGGUGUUCCCAGUUCAUGAGAUUGGAUCGAGCUCACUUAGCCUGUCUGCACCUGUGGAAGUAGCUCCUCACAGGUAGUGCACUCCGGAGUUUGGCACGCGAGGGGGCCAGUGUAGUGCCCUUGGACCAGUGUAGUGUCUGCAGGCGGUCUCGGGGUAGGUGAAUAGCUAGCCACCUCUCCUAUGAGACUUAGAGACGUGAGACUGUGAGCGGGCCUUGCGUUCGCCGAGAGAUUGCGUUCGCCGAGAGAUUGGGUAAUCAGAUGAGUGACCUUGUUGUUGAACAUGGUAGUGAGACAGCCAGCAUUCUUACCAUGAGUUGUGCAUGCAUUUCAUUAGAUUGAGGCAUUGAUAGAUCAUAGUUGUUUAUUACUGUUACUGCUUUCAGUUUAUGUAUCUAUCUAUCUGCAUAUCUAUCUGUGCCUGCUUAAGACCUAGUGGGGAGAUCGGCGGAGUCGGCGGCCGAACCCACUGGGAACUAUUCGUAGUUCUCACUCCACCACAUUGCAGGUCCGAGCUCGAGCGUCCCCGGUGAGGAUCGCGGCAAGGGCGUAGCGCCCUAGUGACAUUGGUAGAGGCUACUUCCUUUAUGCAUUAGUUACACCCUGUACCUAUUUUGAGAGUAGACGAUGUAUAGGGUGAGAUUUUGAGUGGAUUGUAUCUACAUUUUGUAUAAAUGUAAAGAAUGGAUAAUUGUAUAAGUUAAUGAGUUAAUAGUUAAGUACAUCUCUCUUUUAUCACUUGUAUGCCUUACAUGUGUUGCUUGCUCUUGUUUGGUAAGCACUGGUUGUGCUCUCGUAAUUGUUGUGGUUGGUUGAUUGUGUAUGUAUCCAAGUUGUUCCUGGGAACUUGUUGUACACAAUCUAGUGGUUGAGCCUUGGGCGGACAGAGGAGGUGCUGUCCGUUCGGCGGUCCGCUCGCCGCGCCCGAAUCGUGCCAAAUAGGUAGCGGACUCGGGGCGGGGCGUGACAUCAGAACUUCCACACAGAUCAAGAGAUUUGUAAUGGCAAAACCCUAAAAUUUGCCGUAAAAUUGCAUGAUUCAAAAUUGGUAACCUGGAAAAGGGGAAAAAUACUCUAAAAAAAGGAGCUUUUUUUUUUGCAGAAACAAAAUUUAAUCUGUAGAUAAGGAGCAAUUAAAGGGUGAGAGAGAGAAGGAGAGGGAAAAAAUAUAUACCUAAAAUGAAAAUUUUAUCUAAGAAGCUCAAAAUACCUACCCUAAAAUGGAGAGAGAGAGAGAGAUAUAUAUAAAAGAGGGUCGAAAUUAACCGCCACCGCCGGCACCGCCCAAGCCACCAUCACCAUUGCACGCAAGAAGUUAGAAAAAAAAGGGCAAAAGUGAGAAGAAGAAGAAGAAGAAGAAGAAGAAGAAGAGGAAGUUACAGAGAAUAAGAAAAAGAGAAGGAGAAGACUAAAAAAAGAAGAAGAAAAAGAAGAAAUUCCUCUACUCUUCACUGUCCUCCCUCUCUCCCUCUAUCUCUCUCAAGGGAACUAUUUCUGGAUGUGAUUCUCCACCAUCUCUCCACCAUAACCUUGAAAUAAUCUGAUUAGAAAGAGGAAGAACCUAUUAAACGAUAGAGAAUUAUUUUUUUUUUAAAAAAUGGUUCAUCGUUGCUGACUACUGUAAUUAAUCCUAAUUAUUUAAUCAAUAGCCAGCUAACACCACAUAUAUAUUAAUAAUAAUAAUAAUAAUAAUAGUAAUAGUUAAUUAUUUAAUUUAAAAAAAAGAACGGGGUUAAAAGAAAUUAGUGGGCUGGGUGAACGUACCAGGAAGGAGAGGAAGGAGGAGUAGAGGACGAUGCGGUAUCGGCCAAGCCAGAAGUCGGCGACGACUACGCCAACGGGCGCGAGCGUGGACGCGGCGCCCGACCACGCGUUCUCGUUGGCCGCGCCCGCCGCCGUCGACUCCCGCAGCGGGCGCCCGACCGCGCGUUCUCGCUGGCCGCGCCCGCCGCCGUCGACUCCCGCAGCGGGCGCCCGACCACGCGUUCUCGCUGGCCGCGCCCGCCGCCGUCGACUCCCGCAGCGGACGCCCGACCACGCGUUCUCGUUGGCCCCGCCCACCGCCGUCGACUCUCGCAGCGGGCCCGUCAGGUAGCUUAUCAGGGAGAGAUGGGGGGCUAAGACAGAGAGGAGAGGAGAGAGAGAGAGGAGAGGAGAGAGAGAGAGAGUGAGAGGAGGAGAGAGAGAAAGAUGGUAGGGAAAGGAGGAGAGAGAGAAAGAGGGGGCCAGCUNGAGAGAGAGAGAGAGAGAAAGUGAGAGGAGGAGAGAGAGAAAGAUGGUAGGGAAAGGAGGAGAGAGAGAAAGAGGGGGCCAGCUGUAUGAGAGAAAAGAAAGAGGGGCCCACCUUAAGAGAGGAAGAGAAAGAUAGGAGGGGAGAGAGAGAGAGAGGGGAAGAGAUAGAAAUAGGUUAGGAAGGAAGAGAGAGAAUGCCAGGUGGAGGUGAAGUGAGGAGAGAGAGGCUCGGGUAUGAGGCUGGAGGAAGAGAGAGAAGGGGGUAGGAGAAUAGGGAAGAGAGAGAAAGGGCCAGCCGUAGAGGUGGGGCGAGAGGACUCGUCGCCACGUGGAAUAGAGAAUAGAGAGGCAUGCCACAUAGGAUUUGUAGAAAGUGUCAAAUAGUAUAGUUAAUAGAUUGGGAUGUGGGAUUCCCUGAGGUCCUCGGGCGGGAGGACUUGAGCAUAUGCAUAUGAGGCCGACUUUGAGCAUUACAUGCCUUGUGAUGGUUUGGGAUGUGGGAUUCCCGCGGUCCUCGGGCGGGAGGACUAUGAUCAUACUCGCGUCGUCUGUUGUGGUUUGAGGAGGUCACGCCUCCCAGGCUGUGUGUCACGCCCCGCGACCCGCCAAUUUGGUCGGAUCUGGGCACGUCGAACAGACGCCGGACGGACAGCACCUCCCCUAUCCGCCCAAGGCUAAACAACAACAAUAUCAUGUACAAGAGUUGCCCAAAAAAAAAACUCAUUCAACAUACAUGAUACAUGCAAGUGUAAGAAGCACCACAAGUGCGAUACAAUUAAGAGCAAGAAUCACAAGUAACGUAUAAGUGAAAUAAAGAGAGAUAGUUCUAGCUAUUACAUCACAUUCAACAUUUACAUUUUGAUUGCAUUCUUUUCAUCUACCAAAAUGAAUACAUAUUCUUCUCAUAAUACAAAAUGGCUCUCCAACUAGCACCCUCACCAAUAUACAAUACAUAUCACUCAUGUACACGAGGGUACUCUAAUGCAAAAUGAAAGCCGCUAGCUAAUUAGGGCGCUAUGCCCUUACCGCGAUCAACUGCCGGUACGCUCUCACUAGGCCCUGCAACAAAGUGGGGUGAAAACUAUAUGAAUAUAGUUUCCAGUGGGUUCGGUUGCCGACUCCACCGAUCUUCCCACUAGGUCUAAGAAGGCAUAAGCCGAUAGAUAGAUAGAUAGAUAUGAAAUUGAAAUGCAACAUAAUAAAAUAAUCUGCAACAUUCUACUAUGCCUUCAACAAUCCAAUGUAUGAGCUACUACACAGUAUGCAAUCUACACAUGCGACUAUGCCUCAACAAUCCAAUGUAUGAGCUACUACAUAGUAUGCAAUCUACACAUGCAACUAUGCCUCAACAAUAAAGAAAUGAGCUACUACAUAGCAUGUGUCCUCUACUAACAUGAUACUAUGCCUCAAUAAUCCAAUCUCAUGGCUAACUCGAAGGUUGCUGCCCCGACUCACAUCUCAAAUCUCACUAGUGGGGAGACUCUGUGCUACACCCACCUGAGACCCAUCUGUAGGACAACUAUGUCUGUGUAACAUAUCACAUCCCUCGUAAAUCGUGCCGAGUUCCGUCGAAAUGAGCGGAAUGCGGAGUGGAACAAGUUGAUAUGGGCUAGUGGUGCUUUGGAGCCCUUAUAUUGUAAGGAAGUGAAUUCUCGAAAACUGAGGAUUGUACUUCGCCCAGGAUCGACUAACUGUCGAGAGUGUACCUUUUGUGGGAGUUGGAGAUGUCCAAAACACAAAAAGUGCUUUGGAGUUGAGUCUGCGAGAGCAAAUAGGCAAAAUCUGGACUCAGCAGAUUUUUGCUCUCGGGGACCGGUCCCUGGAGGGAAGGACCGGUCCUCGUAGCUGAUGGUCGCGGGGGAGGUCGAUGCGACCAGUCCCUGGUUGAGGGGACCGGUCCUCGUGCGCGACACCCGCGGGAGAAAGCCAAAAUUUGGCUAAGUCCUGAAGGUUCCCUGUUCGGGAACCGGUCUCUUAGGAGAGACCGGUCUCCCAGGAACCGGUCCCUCAGGUGAGGACCGGUUCCCGAACGCGAAAAGUCCCCAGACUGCAGGGAGAGCUCUCGGAGACCGGUCUCCCCGACCAGGGACAGGUCCCUCUGGGCGAAAACUGCCCAGUGAGGGCUGUGCAAUGGUUGAAAAGUUAAGGGGUCUAAAUGCAAAAUGGCCUUUAUUAGAGUAGGCUGGGCCCUCUAUUUCCCUCACAGCCUCUCAUUCUCUCUCUUUCUCACACUCUCUCUUGCUCCCUCUCUCUCUCUCUAGGAAAGAAAGAACAAAAGAGAAGGAGAAGAAGAAAGAGAAGAAGAAGAAGGAGGAGAAGAAGAAGAAGGAGGAGGAGAACAAGAUAGAGAAGGCUUGGAGCAUCUUCCUCUCUUUCUCUCCUCUCCAUUGGUGUAGCUUAAGAGGUAAGCUACAAACCCUAGCUUGUAGAACUUGGGGUUUUGGGUUUUUAUGCCUUGGAAUGGGUCAAAUGGACCCUAAGCUUGCUUCUAAAUAGAUCAAUCCCAAGAAUAUAGGGAUUUAUUGGAUGGUUUGCUAUAGGUGCAAACCUAGGGCUCCAAAAUGGGGUUUUUGUGAAAGCAUGAGAUUGAUCUCAUUUGAAGCCUUGGAAAUCCUAUUGUUAGGUCACAAAACGUGGGGGCGAAGUCGAUUUCACGAUUCCGCUAGUGGAUUGGGAGCUAUCGGCGAAAUACGGCCGAUUUAGCCUUAUUUUUGGACCAAGAAGGCCGAGCCCUCGUCGUAAGGCUCGCCGAGGAGCGUUUCUAAAGCCUCUACAUCGAUAAAAGGUGGGGGGGUGCCAUCCCGAAGCUUUCGAACUCCUUUCUAUGUCUUAGAUUGCAUUUAAUCUUAUCUCUUUAUGUUGCAUUGUAGGAUUGCAUAGUAGCACCAGUCCUUAUGCUUUCUAAAUGAUAAUCUAGUGUACUUGGAACGCUUGGUAACUUAGAUAGGUGAGGAUUGGGUCGGAACGUGGAUCCUAUGAUGCGAAAGAUAGAGAUGAACCCGAUGGGGGUGUUGAUGACAUAGAAAGUAGUGUUAUUGUUAAAGAACAAACGAGUGGCAUCCAAAUGUUAAUUAAUGACGAGUGGCAUUAAUGUAGUGUAAAUGACACUAGAGGUCGAUGGACCUAGGGAUAGGUGGAUCCCUUAGAAAAUACCUUGUGAACAAUGAAUUUAGAAAAGCUAAAUAGCAUUGCAUGAGUGUCGGGAACAAAUGACCCCGCGAGAAAUGUUGACUCUAGUUGUAGAGCAUCCUCACUUGGAGAGGAUUUGAUUGGGUUGUGGACCCUAGUUAUAGUGCAUCCUCACUUGGAGAGGACUUGAUUGAGUUGUUGACCCUAGAUGUAGGGCAUCCUCACUUGGAGAGGAUAGAUCUAGCUCACAGUCUGCGUUUGGGAUGGUAUAGCCAUCCAAUCCCCACAUGGAGGGGAUUGUCGUCGAGUACUCCGGAGUGUCGCGCGACUAGGACCACUUGGAGGUCCGGACCACAUGGAGGUCCGCAGACGGUCCCGGGCUUGGGUGCACUUGGAGCUCCCUCCCCACAUUGGGAUUGAAAGGUGAGUCAUGGGCGAGCCCAAGGGCCUCGCCACAGAUUGGGUAACUGAAAGGUUAAAGGUUUAACAAUGUCAUUGAACAUUUCCAUUCGAACAUGGAUCGAAUUUGUUAGCAUGGUAGCAAACUUUUAUUAUAUGAUGCAUGCAUUCAUACUCAUGAUUAUGGGUAUAGUAGUAUAGUUUUCCUACUAUCGCAUUUACAUUUUUCAGAUACAUAUCUAUCUAUCUAUCUGUUGUUACUUGUGCCCACUUGGACCUAGUGGGGAGAUCGGCAGAGUCGGCGGCCGAGCCCACUGGGAACUAUGGAAGAUAGUUCUCACCCCACUCUAUUUCCAGUGGUAGGUUCAGGGCUGCAGAGAGAGGACCGCGGCAAGGGCAUCGCACCUGACCAGUGAGACCGUGAUAGUAUAGUAGCUUUACUUUUUGCAUUAGUCACCUAUGUAUUGAGAGGGAGAUUUAUUGUAGGUGAGGAUCUGGAGAGCUAUGUAUUUUGGAGAUGAAAAAUGUACUCAUUUAAAGAACAUGAUGUAAAUAAAAAUGAUGGAACUAAUGUAUUAGUUAGCAAGGUACUCUCUUUAUUUCACAUGCUUUAUCUUGUGGAUUACUUGCUCUUUGUAUUGUUGGCACUGUUUGUGCCCUUGUGAAUGUGUAUGUUUAGAAUUUAAUUUCCUGGGUAAAUUCUUGUACACAUCCUUGUUGUUGAGCCUUGGGCGGACAGGGGAGGUGCUGUCCGUUCGGCGGCCCGCCGCUGCGGCCGAACCGUGCCAAAUUGGUAGUGGUUUCGGGGCGGGGCGUGACAGCCUUUGUGGUAUCAGAGCAAUAAGAGCAAGUAAAGAGAGAGUUUAGGAUGACCUAGGAGACCCUAAGUUGGUAAGCCCUAAGGUUAUAGGUGCGUGAGCGGAACGUGAACCUAUAGUGAUGGCGGAAGUUGAUUCGAUUGGGUCGAAGUUGGUAAUAUGUCUCUAGUUGUGAUUAGAGACGGAUUCAAGUGGUAUGAGUUCUUGUCUUGAGGUGGUUGUGUCGGCGGCCGAUGACAUGAUACCAAGAGUCUAGAAUGAGUACACUUGUGUGCUUCUGCCCGAUUUUGUGGUUGAGUCGUCAUGUGUUGUAAUUGCGACAAGGUAAUUGGUUAAGAUGACUGAUCAAGUAAUUACGUUUCAGGGACUAAUGUCUCCAAGACGCUACACGCGUAGGACUGCCCCAGCACCGACUCCUGAGGUGCCCGAACAGGAGGAAUCGAGCGUGAUCGAUCGGUUGCAAGUGCAGGUGACCGCGCUGACCAGUGUGGUGCAGCGCCAGGAGACCUGUAAGGGAAGUGAAUUCUCAAAAUCCGGGGAUUAGACUUCGUUGGGAAUCGACUGAUUGUCGAGUGUGUAAGCUUCAGAAAGUCCGAAGGUGGUUAUAAUGCAUAAAGUGCAUUGAGGAAAUGUCCGCGAGAGCCCUAGUGCAAAAACAGCAUUGGGGCAGAAAUGCUCUCGGGGACCGGUCCCUGGCAGGGAGGGACCGGUCCCAUCGGGCUGGGCUGCCGGGGUCUCUGAUGAGACCGGUCCCUGGCAGGCAGGGACCGGUUCCCGAACGUUUGCCUAGUGAGAAUUAGCCGAAAUUUGGCUAAGUCCCGAGAACCCAGCUCUCGGGAACCGGUCUCUCGGACAAGGACCGGUCUCCCGAGGACCGGUCUCUCGAGCAGGGACCGGUUCCCGAACGCGAAAACCCCUCUGCCUGAUUAUGCAGCUCUCAGGGACCGUUCUCCCCGAGCUGGGACCGGUCCCUCACUGCGAAAAUAGCCCAGGGAGGGCUGUUUCAAGAGGUGAAAAGUUGAGGGGCUUAUUUGCAAAUUGGCUUAUAUGAGAGGCUAGGGGACCCUCUCUCCCUCUCAGUUGCUCUCUCUCCCUCUCUCACACCUUUUGCUCUCUCUCUCUCUAGAAAGGGAAGAGAAAGAAGAGAGAAAGGAAGGAGAAGGCUAAGAAGAAGAAGAUGAUCAUCUUCUUCUCUCCCUCUUCAAGCUCCAAACCCUUUGAUGGUGGGUUUUGUAAGCUAGGGUUUUAAAGUUUAGAAAUGGUUCGAACGGAACCUAUUGAAGCUAGGGAGAUGGUUCGAGCUCGAAAUCGAAGCUCGCACCGUGGAUUUCUCCAUUGUUGAGACCUAGGGCUCCGAUUUGGGAUUUUGGUAAAUCUAGGGUUUUGAUCUAAUUUGAGUGGUCGCAAACCUAAUUACUAGGUCUCUGAACGCGUCGGCGAAGACGGUUCGUUGAUCCGUCAAGUAGGUGCGGAGUUAUCGCCUAAGGAGACCCUCGGAGCAUCGUUCUCGCUUAGAAGGCCAACGAGGCAUCAAAACGUCGGCGAAUCGCAUUUGAAGACUCACGGCAUCACCACGAGGUGGGGGAGUGCCAUCCCGAAGCAGUCGGGCUACUUUCUAUGUCUGAGUACUAAUGUCGAUCAAUUACAUAUUGUAAUAUAGCAUUAUAGGGUGUUAAAUGUAAUUGUACAUAUCUUUGCAUGCUAGUGAUAGUUUGGGUUGUGGAUACAAUGAAUGAGAACCUAGUAUGCAUGAGUGGAAUACUAUGAGAUAGUUCGCCCUAUAUGUACGUCUAUGUAAAUAAGAACCUAGCGUAUUGGAAACUAGUGUAUCAAGAACUUGUCAAGAGAACGAGUGGCAUCUAGUAAACAGUGAACCCAAAACGAGUGGCACCUAGUUGAUAUUGAACUUGAGAACCUUAGUGUAGUUGGGACACUAGGAGAUUGAGCAGAUGAACACCUGAUUCAAUAGUGACACCAAUGCUAGUUGGUUAGGGUGUUUCCAGUUCAUGAGAUUGGAUCGAGUUCACGUAGCCUGUCUGCAUCUGUGGAGGUAGCUCCUCACAGGUAGUGCACUCCGAAGUUUGGCACGCGAGGGGGCCAGUGUAGUGCCCUUGGACCAGUGUAGUGUCCGCAGGCGGUCUCGGGGAAGGUGAAUAGCUAGCCACCUCCCCUAUGAGGCUUAGAGACGUCAGACUAUGAGCGAACCCUGCGUUCGCCGAGAGAUUGGGUAAUUGGUUGAAUGAUUUAAUUAUUGAGCAUGGUAGUUGAUAGCCAGCCUUCUCACUAUGGGUCUCAUGCAUGCAUCAUACUGGAUUGAGGCAUCGAUAGAUCAUAGUUGCUCAUUACUGUUAAUGCUUUCAGUUUUACAUAUCUAUCUAUCUGCAUAUCUAUCUGUGCCUGCUUAGACCUAGUGGGGAGAUCGGCGGAGUCGGCGGCGGAACCCAUUGGGAACUAUUCGUAGUUCUCACUCCACCAUGUUGCAGGUCCGAGUUCGAGCGCCCCCGGUGAGGACCGCGGCAAGGGCGUAGCGCCCUAGUGAUAUUAGUAGAGGUUUACUUCCCUUUAUGCAUUAGUUGCACCCUGUACUAUUUUGAGAGUAGUUGGAUGUAUAGGGUGAGGUUUUGAGAGGUUUGUGUAUUCUCUGUACAGUUUUGGAAGAAUAUAAAGGAUGAAAUAAUUGUAUAAAGUUAAAUGAAUUAAUAGUUAAGUACAUCUCUCUUUUACCACUUGUAUACGUUACAUGUGUUGCUUGCUCUUGGUUGAAGAGCACUGUUUGUGCUCUCGUGAUUGUUGUGUGAUUGUGUAUGUAUUCAAGUUGUUUCCUGGGAACUUGAUGUACACAAUCUAGUUGUUCCAGCCUUGGGCGGACAGUAGAGGUGCUGUCCGUUCAGCGGUCCGUUCGCCGCGCCCGAACCGUGCCAAAUUAGUAGCGGCCUCGGGCGGGGGCGUGACAAGACCAGAUUCGAGCGGCUCCAGGAUCUAUUGGAGCGGCAGAUCGCGGCGGCAGCUGCGACGGCAAAUGAAGGCGGUGGUCCGCCCGCACCCUCGACUCAUAUACAUAGAGCGGCAGAGGGUGAGGGCAUAGCGGCGGUUCCGGUAACGGCACGCCCACCGCCAGCGAUUGUACCACAGGCGGCAUCGGGAUCGAUGUCAACGUUCACAAGAACCAAAAUCGGAACAAUAUUAGACUACUCAGUUGUGCCCUAAGUUAUACACUUAGGGCACAACUGAGUAGUCUAAUAUUGUUCCGAUUUUGGUUCUUGUGAACGUUAACAUCGAUUCGUAUGAAAUUUACCCUCUCGAGACAAAAUAGAACAAGAUAAUUAGGUUUUACUCUUUGUUCGAUUGAAUAAGAAAAAGUAUUCGUUGCAAAGUUAUACUGUUAGGGCGCAACUAAGUAGUCUAAUGUUGUUCCGGCAUUGGUUAUUGUGAACGUUGACAUCGAUUCAUUCGAAAUUUACACUCUUGGGGCAUAAUAGAACAAUAUAAUUAGGUUUAACUGUUUGUUUGAUUGAAUGAGAAAAAGUACUCGUUGCAAAGUUAUACUGCUAUGGCGCAACUAAGUAGUCUAAUGUUGUUCCGAUUUUGGUUCUUGUGAACGUUGACAUCGAUUCGUUCGAAAUUUACCCUCUCGAGGUAAACUAGAACAAGAUAAUUAGGUUUUACUCUUUGUUCGAUAAAAUGAGAAAAAGUACUCGUUGCAAAGUUAUACUGUUAGGGCGCAACUGAGUAGUCUAAUGUUGUUCUGGUUUUGGUUCUUGUGAACGUCGACGUCGAUUCGUUCCAAAUUUACAUUCUCGGGGCAUAAUAAAAAGAUUUUACUCUAUGUUCGAUAGAAUGAGGAAAAGUACUCGUUGCAAAGUUAUACUGUUAGGGCGCAACUGAGUAGUCUAAUGUUGUUCUGGUUUUGGUUCUUGUGAACGUCGACGUCGAUUCGUUCCAAAUUUACAUUCUCGGGGCAUAAUAAAAAGAUUUUACUCUAUGUUCGAUAGAAUGAGGAAAAGUACUCGUUGCAAAGUUAUACUGUUAGGGCGCAACUGAGUAGUCUAAUGUUGUUCUGGUUUUGGUUCUUGUGAACGUCGACGUCGAUUCGUUCCAAAUUUACAUUCUCGGGGCAUAAUAAAAAGAUUUUACUCUAUGUUCGAUAGAAUGAGGAAAAGUACUCGUUGCAAAGUUAUACUGUUAGGGCGCAACUGAGUAGUCUAAUGUUGUUCUGGUUUUGGUUCUUGUGAACGUCGACGUCGAUUCGUUCCAAAUUUACAUUCUCGGGGCAUAAUAAAAAGAUUUUACUCUAUGUUCGAUAGAAUGAGGAAAAGUACUCGUUGCAAAGUUAUACUGUUAGGGCGCAACUGAGUAGUCUAAUGUUGUUCUGGUUUUGGUUCUUGUGAACGUCGACGUCGAUUCGUUCCAAAUUUACAUUCUCGGGGCAUAAUAAAAAGAUUUUACUCUAUGUUCGAUAGAAUGAGGAAAAGUACUCGUUGCAAAGUUAUACUGUUAGGGCGCAACUGAGUAGUCUAAUGUUGUUCUGGUUUUGGUUCUUGUGAACGUCGACGUCGAUUCGUUCCAAAUUUACAUUCUCGGGGCAUAAUAAAAAGAUUUUACUCUAUGUUCGAUAGAAUGAGGAAAAGUACUCGUUGCAAAGUUAUACUGUUAGGGCGCAACUGAGUAGUCUAAUGUUGUUCUGGUUUUGGUUCUUGUGAACGUCGACGUCGAUUCGUUCCAAAUUUACAUUCUCGGGGCAUAAUAAAAAGAUUUUACUCUAUGUUCGAUAGAAUGAGGAAAAGUACUCGUUGCAAAGUUAUACUGUUAGGGCGCAACUGAGUAGUCUAAUGUUGUUCUGGUUUUGGUUCUUGUGAACGUCGACGUCGAUUCGUUCCAAAUUUACAUUCUCGGGGCAUAAUAAAAAGAUUUUACUCUAUGUUCGAUAGAAUGAGGAAAAGUACUCGUUGCAAAGUUAUACUGUUAGGGCGCAACUGAGUAGUCUAAUGUUGUUCUGGUUUUGGUUCUUGUGAACGUCGACGUCGAUUCGUUCCAAAUUUACAUUCUCGGGGCAUAAUAAAAAGAUUUUACUCUAUGUUCGAUAGAAUGAGGAAAAGUACUCGUUGCAAAGUUAUACUGUUAGGGCGCAACUGAGUAGUCUAAUGUUGUUCUGGUUUUGGUUCUUGUGAACGUCGACGUCGAUUCGUUCCAAAUUUACAUUCUCGGGGCAUAAUAAAAAGAUUUUACUCUAUGUUCGAUAGAANUGCAUGCUUCUUAGUAGUGUACUUACGAGUUGAACACCUAGACUAGGGUAGCAUGAGGAUUGGGUCUUAUGGCAUAGAAUCCUAUAGCGGCAUAAAGAGCCGAACUUGGACAUAGCCUAGUAGAGAGGCAUUGAACUAGUGUAGUAGAGACACUAAACUUGAACGAGUGGCAUGUCAACUAUUAGAAAACUUACUACAAUGAUCGAACGAGUGGCAUCGAGUCUAGUGUAGUAAACUUGACAUGGACCUGGGGAUAGUAGGAGUCCCAACAUUGAUCAUAUAUUGUGACUGUGCAGCAGAUGCACAUUGACCCUAGUAGACAGGGUAUCCUCUUGUGAGGAUUGGAUCAUACUCACUAGUCUGUUUUUGCUUGUCGGUGGUCGCUCCACCGAGGCACGAGUCUCCGGAGUACUUCACUAGGGGCAGACGUAGUUGUCCCGCAGACGGUCUCGGUGUGCGAGUGCAGUUUCUCCUCACCUAUGAGAUUGAGAGUGAGUCGAGGGUUUAACCUUCGGGUUAACCAAGUGAAUUGGGUAAGAAACAUGAAAUGCAUAGUAGACUUGCAUUAUUACCUUGAGUAGACAUAGUGUAUGUUGUAGUUUACAUUACUAUGCACCCUUAUAUACUCAUGACAUGAUACUAGCAUGAUAGUAGUUGUUGCAUGCAUUAUUAUCAUUGGUGGCAUGAUAGAGUAGUUGCAGUUAAUUUUUAUAUAUCUAUCUAUCUCUCUAUCUGUGCCAGCUUAGACCUAUUGGGAAAACCGGUGGCGUCGGCGGCCGAACCCACUGGGAACUAUAUUUUUAUAGUUCUCACCCCGUGUGGUUUUGGGGUACAGGUACACACAGAGGCGAGUCAAGCGAGGACCGCGGCAAGGGCAUAGCGCCCUAAGUGAGUUUAGUUGGUAGCUUUUCCUUUAUGCAUUAGGGUACCCUCGUGUGCUAGAUGAUGUUUGGAUAGAUAUGGGAGAGCUACUUGUAUUUUGAGGAAAAUAUGUAUUUACAUUUUGGUAGAUGGAAAAUGUAAUGCAAUCAAAUGAUGUAACUAUUGAAUGAAUGUAAUAGUUAGACUAUCUCUCUUUAUACACUAGCAUAUUACUUGUGGUUCUUGCUCUUAGAUGUAUUGCACUUGUGUGCGCUAUAUUCGAUCAUGUAUGUCACCUAAGCAUUCCUGGGCGCUUACUUAUACAUGAUCCGGUUGUUUAGCCUUGGGCGGGCAGGCGAGGUGCUGUCCGUUCGGCGUCUGUUCGACGCGCCCGAACCGGACCAAAUUGGUAGCGGCAUCGGGGCGUGACAAAAGCAGUCAAGUAAAAGUAGAAUUAAAAUGAUCUACUAGAUGUUGCAUGUUGUUCAUAUCGCAUAUCGUGAGGCAUGGCAUGUAUUUCAAUUAAAUAUAUAUAUCUGUUGUAUAUUGUUGAACUAACAUGUUGCAGUGCCUCCUCGGACCUAUCGGUCGAGCUUUUCCCUUGGGUGGCCGUACCCACUGGGAACAAUGGAGUUUGUUCUCACCCCACGUUGUUUUGGGGUUUUCAGGUCGUUCGUGUGCGUCGCGGCGGCGCGAGGCGAGGGCGUAGCUCAGUAGAUAGUGCCCCACCACAGAGACCGAGGUAGCAGUACCCUGAGACAGUCUAGCUUAGGGGUCUAGAAGACAAGAAAAGAAAAUGUAUCAAACUUGUAAACUCUGAUGUAAUAGUAAGAUUGUAAUUGGGAAGUAAAAAUGUAAACUGAAACUGUGAUGUAUAACGUAAUUGUGAAAUGAAUGCUUGUAAUAGCAAGUAGAUUAUGUAUUUGAUACUUCCUUAUGCAAUCUGGAUUGAUAUCCGUUCCUUGUUGGAACAUUCGUUGAUUGUUUGGAUUGCGACGCCUUGGACGUACUGGGGAGACUCUGUCCGCGUACAGGGGAAUUCCCGGUCCGUUCGGCGGUCUGUCGGCGGCGCCGCGACCCGGUCCAAAUUGGCGGUUGGUCGCGGGGCGUGACACUGUUGGUGCUCCUCGUGAUCGUGUGAACGUUGACAUCGAUUCGUCCAUCUUUACACUCUUGGGGCUUAAUAGAACAAUAUAAUUAGGUUUUACACUUUGUUCGAUUGAAUGAGAAAAAGUACUCGUUGCAAAGUUAUACUGUUAUGGCGCAACUUAGUAGUCUAAUGUUGUUCCUAUUUUGGUUAUUGUGAACGUUGACAUCGAUUCGUUCGAAAUUUACCCUCUCGAAGCAAAAUAGAACAAGAUAAUUAGGUUUUACUCUUUGUUCGAUUGAAUGAGAAAAAGUACUCGAUGCAAAGUUAUACUGCUAGGGCGCUGGGCGCAAGUGAGUAGUCUAAUGUUGUUCCGGCUUUGGUUCUUGUGAACGUUGACAUCGAUUCAUUCGAAAUUUACACUCUCGGGGCAUAAUAGAACAAUAUAAUUAGGUUUAACUGUUUGUUCGAUUGAANUCAUGAAUUGAUUCCUGGGUAAAUUCUUAUACAUGAUCAGUUGGUUAGCCUUGGGCGGACAGGGGAGGUCCUGUCCGUUCGGCGUCUGUUCGACGCGCCCGGACUGGGCCAAAUUGGUAGCGGUCUCGGGGCGUGACAAUAUUACCGUCUUGAUGUUUACUACACUUUAGUUUUGUGAUUGUGUAUUACUGUAGCACACUGAACUUUAGCAUAUUGCAAUGUUCUAGUAUAAGAAUAGUAUUUUGUGCUAUUCUGGAAGUUUUGAGGGUUGUUGGCUGUGUGUCGGCCUAUUUUUGGAGCUUAUUAGGCGCGAGAACGGGUUCCUGACAUCAAAACCUGCAAAUUGCAGAUUUCAGUGUUGAGUACCGAUACUGGAUUGAGGUACCGGAACCCAAUUGAGUGCUAGUUUGGGCAAUUCUCAGGUUCUGCCGAAUCAAGUAGUGGGUACCAGUACUGGGCUGAGUACUGGUAUUGCAUCGAAUGAGUACCAGAAUGCAGUGAAAAAUAGAAUUUUCCAGCGUUCGGGGUUUACGGUACUGGACCCCUGGUACCGGAACAGAUUGUCGAGUACCGGUACUCCAAACUGUGUACCGUUACUCAAUGUUGUAGAACCUAUUUCGUGUAGAGUGUGAUUUCUGAGUUUUGGAGGGGCUUUUGGGGUAUUGUUACAACUAGUAUAACACACCCCACACCCCCUCUCAUUUCCUCUUGUUGGUUGAGAGGUUGAGAGAAGCAGGAGGUAGGUUUUUUCUCUCCAACUUCUCUUGGGUUUCCUUUCCCAACCCUUUGAUUCAUAGGGUUUGAUCUCUAUUUCUUCCUCUCUACUUUGAAUGCAAGCACCUUCACUUAGAGGGGAGCUCAGGAUUGAGGAGAUGAGCUUGUUGGAGAAGCAAACUUCAACCCUAGCACGUCAUGGCUUGAGUUGGAGCUUAAUUCGAGAUUAGUAUCCUUCUUGUUUUCCCUAUUUAGGAGAUUUGCAAGAGAUCUUGGUGGAAAGCCUUUUGUAGAAACUAGGGUUUGUUUUAGGGCUUUUCUUUUGAAAACCUUUUGGAUGGAAUAAUGAGUGUUGAACACUCUUGUAGGUUGGAUUUGAAGAUCCAUCGGGUUGAUUUGAGCCUUGGGCAAGUUUUGCUUGGUUAAAGGUAAUUUUCACCUAUUAUCUUUUGGAUUUUUGGUGAAUUUCGUGGUGAGCUUUUUAGAAGCUCAUAACCCUUUGAGAAUUUUUCUUAGGGUGCUAGAAGUCUUGGAGAUAACUUCGUCGAAGAAACGAACGAGGUUUCGGAAGCUUUUCGGUGGGUUUGACCUUACCAAAAUGGAUGAAUUUUCUCUAUGUCUUCUAUAUUGCUAUAAGACAUAAAUUGAUGCAUAUUUAUGUUAGAUAUGACAUGGUAGAAUUUUUGAAUGCAUGAUUGUAAGGUACUGAACUUCUUAAAUUAUAAAGUUACGGUGGGAUGUAAUAUGCUGAAAUUUUAAUAUAAAAAUAAAUAUAAAUAAAAAUAGUGUGGGAUACUAUUUUAUUGGACUUAUAGACAUACAAUAUAAGUCUGGAAUGACCCGUGUUGAAAUCAGAGCGAAAACAGAAGAUUUAGAAUUUUAUGUGUGAAACGGGGCAGAUAAAUUAGCAGAAAAUGCACAGUAUCAGAAAAUUCUGAAAACUGGAGGAUAAGCCAGAAUUAUUUUUGUGAGGUUAGAUUUAAAGUUUCAUAUCAUUCUGACACCUGGAAGGUGAAAAAUAAAAUCCGAUAGUGAUCUGAUAAAGAUUACAGUUCGGUACGGCUUUCGGUGACCAAACGGGGUCGAAACUGAAAGAUUAAAAUUUCUUUCUUUAAGUUAAGCAAAACCGAACAUGACUGUUAAAUUUGAGCUCAAACGGAUAUUCAGAGGGCUCCGGCGAAAGAUAUCAGAUUUCGAACUGCCUGAAGUGAAUAGUGUAUGCUACUAUGGGGGUGUUGACUAUAAGUAGAAGCUUCUAGUGACUUGGCUUCUUCUUACACAAGCCGAGCACCACCCCCACAAGCACACGUUCAUGGUGGUAGUGAGAGAAAUCCUCACUUUCUCUCUCUAAAUAACUCUCUCAUCUCUCUAGAUCUUUCGCCCAAAUUCGCGGCGUUGGCGGAAAACGAGCUUGCAAACGCGUUGGGAGCGACGGAUCGAGCUUUCGUACGCCCGUUGGAGCAGCGUGCUUCCGUCUCAGCAUUCACAUUUUGGUAAACUUUUGGGAUUUGGCUUAAUCCUUAACCUUAAGUGUUCUAGUAGCCUCUAAUGAGCAUUCUUAGCAUGUUGCUCCAUUUAAUUUGGAUUAUUUGGGGGUAAUUGCAUGUUAAGGCUCAAAAAUAGGAUUUUGCAAUAUGUGAGGGUUUGAUCUAAAUUGAUCAUGUAUAAACCUAAUUGCUAGGUUUUCUAACGCGUUGGCGAAGUUGGUUCGGCGAUACGACGAGCGUACGCGAAGAUAUUAAAGAACGAAGCCGUUAGGGUACAGAUUGCCGCAACUUGCGGCGAAAGCUUCCAAAAAUCUUGGAAACGGAAUCGUAGCUUCAGGACAUCACCAAGAGGUGGGGGGUGUCAUCCCGAAGCAACUGGGCUUCUCCCUAUGUCUAAGUAUUUCUAUGUUGAACAUACUACAUAUAUAGUAUCAUGCAUGUUAGGGUAUUUAGAUGUUACUUUUACUAUUCUUGCAUGCUCCCUUGUAUUGCGGCAUAGUAGGCUUGGCAUGUGAACUUAGGGUGCAUGAGAAUGAGUUUGUGACAUAGAACCCUAAAGAGAUAAGUUAAACAAUAACUUGAUCUUGCAUAGAGGAUAUAUGACUAGUAUAGUCGGGACAAUUGCAUUAUGGCAAGUGACAUGUGAACCAAGUACAUACUUGACGAGUGGCAUAUGUAUACCAAGUAAACAACUUAACGAGUGGCAUUAGAACGUAGUGUUAAAAGAACACUUGUGCAUGUUGGUCAUAGUGACCGGGUACCUUCGUUGGAAAAGAAUUUGAUUAUACUCACACAGUCUGUUCAGCGCUUGUGGCGGUCGCCCCGCACAAGUAGUGUGAGCUCCGGAGUCUUGGCACGUGAAACGAUUGGGAUAGCCUAUGUGGGGUCCCAAGGGAUAGCCUAUGUGGGGUCCCGCAGACAAUCCCUCGGGUGGUUCGAGUCCUCCUUCAUAGACGGAUUUGAGUUGUGAGUCGAGGGCGCGCCUUUGGGCCAGCCAGAUGAUUGGGUGAUGAACUCAAGAGAAUUAUGCAUAUUGAGCAUAGUAAGCAUAUUGAGCAUGUUGAGCAUGUUGGACAUAGUAGAAUUGCAUGUAUACUUGAUAGAGUUAUUAUAGCAUGUUAGAGAUUACAUGGCUAUGUGAUUUACUCUUGUUCUCCAGGCAUAGUAGAAUCUUGCAAUUCCUUAUAUAUGCAUCAAUUACAGUUACAAAUAUCUAUCUAUCUGCUUAUGCCUGCUUAGACUUAGUGGGAAGAUCGGCGGAGUCGGCGGCCGAACCCACUGGAAACUAUAUUUAUAUAGUUCUCACCCCACUUUGUUGCAGGGCCUAGCGAGAGAGCACCGGCAGAGGACCGUGGUAAGGGCAUCGCGCCCUAGGUGUAGUUAGCAGCUUCCACUUGCAUUAGUGUACCCUCGUGUACCCCGUGACAUAUGAUGUACUUUGGGAGGUUGCUUGUGUAUUUUGGAGAUCAUCAUGAAUGUUCAUUUUAGAGAUAUAAAUGUAAUCAAGGAUCUAAAUGUUGAAUGCCUUGUGGAUGUAAUAGAUAGAUGUAUCUCUCCUUAUUUCACUUGUAUAGUAUACUUGUGCCUUGCUCUUACUUGUUAGCACUUAUGGUGCUCCGUGCUUUAUCAUGUAUGUAAUUGAAUUUAUUCCUGGGCAAUUCUAUGUACAUGAUCUUAUUUUUGAGCCUUGGGCGGACAGGGGAGGUCCUGUCCGUCCGGCGUCUGUUCGACGCACCCGAACCGGACCGAAUUGGUAGCGGUCUCGGGGUGUGACAAUGAUACACUCAUGUUACAUAUAGAAGUUUUUAUACUCUAUGUAGUAGAGGCUUAUAAUGUAGAUUGGUACACUAAAUAGCAUGAUAUUGUAUUUCCUCUUAUGCAACAUUAGAAUGCAUGAUAGAGAUGAGUAAAUAAUGUCCUAUGGGACCUUACAUGAUUAGUGAAAUUAUUGAAUUCAACUUGCAUGAUAACUAAUAUACUUGUUUUAAACAAGGGCAAAUAUGACCUAUUGCAUAGUAGAGAUAAAUAGUGAUGUUAAGCAUGUUGCACUUAACUUAGUUGAACAACUAAUUAGGCAUUAUGACAUUGUACUUGACCUGUAGGUCGUUAGUUGCAUUCCAUGUUUUAGACAUGACGAAAAAGAUUUCUAUGCUUUUGGGCAAAUAAAAAAGGGCAAUUGCUUAUAAUUGCUUAGUUGAAUGAAAGUUACUUACAUGAUGACCAUCAUACUCCAUGAAGUAGAGGCUUGUGUAGCAAGGCAUGUGCAUAACUUAAAUCAUGAUCUAGUUGACAUCCUCGUAGUUCAUUGAAUAUGGCAUUGGUAAAUUGUUCACUUUACACUAUAUUGGAAACAGUAUACUUAUGAAACCACUGUGUUUUGGGUCUUGAAUAAAAUAUAGAACCGUCCUUGAUAGGAUAAAUGAAAUGUAAACCAAUACAUGCUUUAGGCAUGUCAUGUAUUGAAAGAGACAUACCACUAAGUUACUUGAGAAUGAAACUUGAUAUAUAUAAUAUAGUACCCGACCUAUGAGUCGAUGAUUGUGAUUCUUUUAAACAUAAUGAUUAUUAGGAUAUGUGGUCUUUAGACCUUAUGCUAAUGAUCACGUUUGCUUGCCAUUGUGCUCAUGCGCAUAAGCUUGUGAGUGUCGCUGCCUACAAGCCGGCUCUUCGGAGUUAGCCUUUGCGACGACAGAUCACCCGUGCGGGAUUGGGCACCAAAGUGGAUUGCUAUGGGGGAGGCAUGAUCAUUCCUAGAGGAGGAAUGUUGACUAUCACGGGGCCAUUAGACACGGCACAAGCCGGGACGUUACCAUGUGUAAGUUACUCGUUAAUUGGGUAAAGGUUAAGUAAACUUGACAUAGUACAUCACAAUUAGUUGGUGCAUAUAUAGUAGAUGGACAACACCAAUACUGGUACCCAGCACCCCAAAUCUCAAACCCAAGAGCAUCUGCUCUCGGUCACGUAAUGGGGUUCCGGUACCCUACCCAGGUACUGGUAUUUAGCACCCAAAAAUCUAAAUUUACGGAUUUUGGUGCUAAGUACUCCUUCUCGCGUUCUCAGAACACGAGUAACAAGUCGGUACUCAAUCAACGACUUUCAAAAAUACAAGGAAUAGCACAAAACACUAUUCUAACACUGGAACCUUACAGUUUGCUAAAAUUCAGUGUGUUACAUUCUCCACUCCUAAAAGGAGUUUCGUUCGCGAAAAUAGAAACCAACCACAUCACAAAUCCAUCUGAAAAAGUGGAAGAAAUGCUCUAGCAGCGCACAAUCCAGUUCCCAAAAGUCUCGAGCAUGCCAACUGUCACGCCUCGGGACCGGCGAAGGCCCUCCCGGUAGCGUGCCCAGACCCGCCAUAUGUCUACACAUAUAAGGCGUCUACAACAAAAGCGGAAGUAAAGCAGGAGGUAGAACAAAUAAAAGAAGUGAAAUAACUAGCAACUAAUAAUAUCAGAGCAAGUAAGGUUCUACCAUCUACACCAAAGUAAAGAAAAUUAAAGCUAGUCAACCAAAGAUAACCAUAAGUAGUACAAUAACCGUCGCUAGUACAAAAAUGGUGGUCUCUAUACAUAUACGGGUACAACUCUCAACCUCUCACAAAAAGAAAACACGAGAGGUGGACCACCUAUCGAACGAUCCCUCGGUAAGCGCGCUAGCCCGAGGUGAUACCCUUUCCGCGAUCCCUGGCCUCUCCCUGCGUGGAAGGCUCUGAAAAACAUCGAGAAAAAGAGGGCGUGAGAACUAUAAUUUAUAGUUCCCAGUGGGCAAUUACUGACCUCAGCUCUAUGCACCACUAGGCCCCAAAAGAAAAGGGUAAGUACAAUAAUAAUAGCAAUAAUGACUGCGAUGUAAAGGCAUAAUUAAAAUGCUAAAUUACUAAACUCAAGUAUAAACGAUGUCAUGGUGAUGUACAUCUACGAUAUCAUAAUAGUAUGUCCAAUGGCAAUAGCUAAGUGUCAUUAACUUUUAUCAAUACAUGAUGCAUAAGUUCUGUCAUUGCAACCAAGUAUGCUCUAAUGCAAAAGGAGACUAUCAAGUAUACUACAUGUCUCAACACUAUGCUAAAAGCAUAUAAAUGUAAUUCAACUACUAAACCUAUCUAGUAGUGAUUAACCAUUCUCAACACCGUGUCAAUUUUCAUUUCCAAUUAAGGACCUACCAAAGGUAGUCCAGCUUGUGCUGCCUAAGUGUCUGUGGUAGCCCAACAUCCCUGCUCUUGGAAUGUGUCUGUCCCACUCGACCCCGUAGGCUUUUCAAUACCGCACGAACGAACAUAAGUCGCGUAGACUAACUCCGGAGUGCCGGCUUGUAGGGAGCGACCCUCACAAGCAUGUGCGAAUGAGCACAAAUGGCAAGCAAGCAUAGUCCAAGUCUCAAGUAUCCAAUCCUCAUGUCUCUAACAUGGUAUGGUCACUAGCAUCCCGAAGAUCUAGUUUAAGUCACAAUGUGAAGUUUCAACAUUUGCUACGCCUAGUGCCCCUUGAUGACACUUAGGCAAUUUGAUGUUCAACAUGUAUUCCAAAUCCCUCAAUGGCCCUAUCCGCUAGGUUCUCACAUGUCCCGAGCUCAAUGCCGCUUGAUGACAUUAGCUCUCUAGUUCACAUACCUUCUAAAUGGCAAUCUUGUCAUCUUUCAUGUCACAAGUAAACUCAAGUUUAAAUGCAUGAAUCCGAACUCAUUUAUACUAUAGAAGCAUGAAACCAAGUCUCAUAAAGAAUGCUAAAUGCAACCAAAGAUCUCCCAAGCAACUCUCUACUACAUAGAGGUCCAAAAUUUCAUCAUACAUAACAUAUGCAUUUUAAGCAUUCUAAAAAUCAUAAUAAAUACAUUUAGUAUGAACAUGCAUGCUUUUUCAAUUUACGGAGCAUAUAUAACCAUAUAUGAGAAUUCCUCAUAGGUAGGCUAGGUCAAACCCACCGAACCGUCGCGUAGGGUCUCGAUCCGCCGAACAAAGUUGUCCCCGAAUCUCAAAAUACCCUAAAAGUAUUGAGCGACAAGAUACACGGGCAUUACGAUCAACUAUAAGAUCAAACUUUAACAAAUUUAGCAAAAAGGCUAAAUCUCACCCAAUGAGUGGAAAAUCUCUCUCAAGCUCCAAAAGAGAGCAAAAUUCCUUCCAAUCCAAGCCCAAGGAAGGUUCUAAACCAACUAAUUAAGCUCCAAAAGCCCUAGAUUCAAAACGCCCAAAAUAAGCCCUAAAACCUCAUUCUAGGGUUUCAUCUCAAAACCAUCAAUAAAAAUCCAAUCUAAAGGGAGAGGAUAAGUGGAUUACCUCAUAGAAGCUUCAAUCUAAGCUCUAAACUCUUGAAAUCCCAAGAUCUUCCCUCAACAAUCCACCAAGACCAAGCUCCAAGCUUCACAAGGGUGGAAAAGCAAAGAAAAGGGAAAAGAAAAGGAUCAACACUUAAAUCCCAAGCUAAAAAGAGAUCAAAUCCAAAGGGGGUGAAGGGGAGAGGUGCCCUACCUUUCUUCCUGCAAUGGUGAGCUCAAAGGAGGGCCCUAGAGGCGUGGGUGCUGAUAUAAGAGACCCACAAACGCAAAAACACCCCUGCAGUUCAAACUGCUCAAAUUCUGCCGCCUUGUACCGGUACACGGGCCCUUGUACCGGUACAAGGUCCACGAAAUCCAAACCCGAAGCUCGGGAUGCUGGGCUCUGCGGCUCUGUACCGGUACAAGCUCCGAUGGCUGUACCGGUACAACCAUCAACCUUGUACCGAUACAAGCACAGCCUUGUACCGGUACAAGCCUGCCAGAACUCAAUCCGAGAGUCAGCCAAAUCCCGUUUUUUCGGAUUUUGGUGCAAGGCUUCGUACCGCAAAUUUCGGGACACGUGCCAUAGGUCGGAACACAGUCAACGACCCACCAGAAAAUCUGGAAAAGCCCAGAACACGGCCAAUCACUCGAACCUCGCAAUUUGCAAAGGCCUAGUGUGUUACACCAACAUUGCUCCAAGGCAUCUUUGCAUAGGAAAACCCACGAUUCCGAAGGUUUAGCACAUCGCAAGCCAAGUCUUCCACAAUUGUUUCUCGAACUCAAAUCCUCAUAGUAAGAAGUUCCACCUCUUAUCUGUGCUCAUCCAACAAGUUCUUUAGUUGCUUCACAUAAAGUCAAUCGCCUCCGAGAGGGCUAAAUUUCAUUUCCCGCUUUUCUCAAGUAUGUCGAGAGCGAAGAUUAGCUUUCCUCUACACUGCUCUUAUGAACAGAAAUUGAUCAUUCAUCCUUUUAAGGAGGAUUCAAACAGUAUCAUCCACUAGAGGAAUCCAAGGGUUAUACCCGGUACACAUCUCUCCAAAUUCAAUUGGUGUUCCCAGAAUGAUUAUCACAUAACAAAAGGAGGCGACGUGGAAUUUUCAAUCGUUGACCAAAACUCCUACGAUGAUCCUCCAUAAUCCAAGGGUCAAAUACAUUAAGAAAUUGCACAAUUUGGUGCAAUUCCAUCCCACGGUCAAGCAUGGUGAAUAGGUAGACUGUAGUGUACCGAGCCCUCGAUGCGCAAAAAUCGAACUUUAGUCAAAUUGACCAAAGUAUGGUAUUGGAUGCUUUAGUGAGGUCCGUUCAGUGUUCCAAGUGAUCGGAAUGACUUAUAAGGGUGUAAGGGACCAUGUAAUAUACCGAAAAUUCGGAAAAUAAAUAUCGAACUUUAGUCAAAUUGACCAAAGUGCGAGGACGGAACACUUCGGAAAGUCCGAAGGUGUUAAAAUGAUUAAAAGUGAGUUGUGGAAGGUUUUCGAGAGCUAAAGAAUCAAAUUCUGCAAAACUGCAGAUUUUGAGCUCUCGGGGACCGGUCCCUGGUGGGAGAGACCGGUCCCCGAACGCGUAUGAAAUGAGACAGCCGAAAAAUCGGCUAAGUCCUGGAAGAUCAGCUCUCGGGAACCGGUCUGUGCCUGAGAGACCGGUCCCCCAGAGACCGGUCCCAUCAGAGAGAAACCGGUCGCAUCGCGCUCAGCGGCUCUGGCUGCGCAGGGUGGACGUUCGGGAACCGGUCCCUACUCGGGGAGACCGGUCUCUGCCUGCGAAAACUGCCCAGUCCAGGCAGUGCACAGAGGUAAAAGUUAGGUUUUAAGCUGCAAUUUUAUCAACCGAAGUAGGCUAAUAUGAGGGCAAAUGAGAUAUUUCUCGGUCAUUUCCUCAUCCUAUCACACUCUCUCUCUCCCUCUCUCUCUACGAAAGCAAAGGAGAAGAAGAUAGAAAGGAAGAAAGUGAGGAAAAGAAGGAAAUAGAAGGUGAAAAGAAGAAUCAAGUAGUCAAAGCUUACCUCUUUUCGCUUCCUCCUUGGAGCAACUUGGGAAGCUUGAGGUACAGCUUUGAUCCAGUAUAGUAAAACCCUAGAAUUGAGUUUUUGAUGACCUAGCAGUAGUUUAAUGGAAUUUUUAAAGAGUUUUGAAGCUUUCUUUUUGCUUCUAAAGAGAUCAAUAAUCUAGGUUUUGCCUAUAGAGGUGAGCUUUGGACCACCUCUCAUGGUGAAAUCCAAAACUAGGGUUUGGAGUGAGCUAUGGAUGUUCUAGUGGACCUAUUUAUGAGUGUUAAAAUGAAGCUAUUUUUGUCAAUUACCGCAAUGAGAUCAAACCUGGGUUUGACAUGAGUAUUGGAGGCUAUGGGCCAUGGGGCUUUUGCUCCAUAGGGUUUCUAAGUGCAAUUGACGCUCUCUUAAACAACGCUAAUGGGGCGUAUUUCGCGACCUGCGAUUGGUGGCGCUCGGAUUAACUUACGAAAAGCGAUGAACAAGUUAUGGGCAAAUGGGCCUAAUAAGGGUUCGUUUGCGCAGUAAAGAACGAAGGAUCUAAAAAUCCUGAGAAUAAUCGUCGGAUACCUAAAGAACCUACAAGUGGGUGGUGCUUUCCAAAAUCAUUGAAUCUCUCUAUGCCUAAUGUGUCAUUCUUGACAUCUGUUCUAUAUAUUGUUUGCAUGCAUUUUAGUGGUAAAGUAAUGAUGAAAUGUGAUGAUGUGUAUGAAUUGUGAGCACAACUUGCAUAAUGAGAUGGUUGGCAAUUAAUAAUGGCAAACAACCCUAGAUUAUGCAUGAGAAGAAAAUGUGAGCACCCAAAGGAGCAAAAGAACAGAUGUGCACAAUGCAUAGCAUCGUUGCAAUUUGAAAACGUAAAGUAAAGUGACACUAGAGUUAGUGUGAGCCAAAUGAACAAAGUGAUGUAAAGAAUGAGGAAAAGACAAUAUUAAAGUUAAAGUAAAGUGGGGCAAGAAGAACGAAAAGUAAAGAAUUAUGAUUGCUAGAGUUAGCAAAAGUAAAAGAAAUGCCAAAAGAUCCAUGAUUUCUAGAGUGGCAACAGUAAAAGUGACGUAAUUAACUAGAGUUAGUGUACAAGUCCGAGAUUGAACAUACAGUCCUUGAGUUAACGAUUCGAUCAUGCUGCUAUGAGUUCCGUGCUUCGGGGCGGUCCCGCUUCCCCUCGGCGAUGCGCAUUCGGAGUUAUGCAUAGCCGGGUUGGAGUAGACCCGUAAGGACGGUCCUAGCUGUGAGUUCCUGGCAAUGAUGGACCUUUAAUGUGAAGCAAGUCAAUGUGGGCGAAACCCGGUUACCUUAGAGAUUAAAGAACAAAGAGCAAAGAAAAAGUGUACAGAAGCAAAGAACAAGAGAAGUGAAAGAAUAAAGAAUUUGUCAUAUGCUGCAUAUUUAAUGUGAGCAUAUUCUUGUUUUGUUCAGGCAAUUAUCACCCUGUUAUAGAUUGGUUUACUAUAUCUACUUAUCCUUUCUAUUAUGCCUGAGUUCGUCUAGGGGAAAGUCGGUGAUUUGGGCCGAACACUGGUAGACUUUGUUAAUACGUCUCAACCCCACUAUUUUCCACAGGAGCCGGGACCGAGCGAGCCGGCGAGCGACCGCGGUAAAGGUAUCGCACCGUAGUCAGAGGCCACCGGAGUUGGGUUACAUUUUGUUAGUAGACACCCUUUUAUCAUCUUUUGUACUUGAUGAUUAGUGAAGUAAAGAAAGAAUGUAAAGCUUAUUUUGAGGAAAAAGUGAUGUAAGAAAGAAAUGAUGUAAUGAAUGUAAGAAUUCGAUAAAUUACUAGAUGAAUGUAAUGUAUAUGAUCAAAAAUGAAUCAUAGUACAAGUGAAUGUUUAGUUUCCUUUUUCUUUCACUAAUGGCUAUUGCUUACCCUCGUGUAAGCCGUUUGUGUAUGUUUCCGCUAGUGCAUUUCUUGUUUGAAUUUGUACAUGUGAUGAGCCUUGGGCGGACAGGGGAAACUCUGUCCGUUCGGCGUCUGUUUGACGUGCUCGGGUCGGGCCAAAUUGGCAUCGGGCCCGGGGCGUGACAGACCAAAAAGGAUCUUGGAGAGCAAGAUUUGAGAUUUUUGAAUUUUUUUGUAUUGGAAGUGCUCUCGGGGUCCGAACCCUGCAUGUAGGGUUUGAACCUCGUACACGGGAAAACGUGCACAUCAGCAAAUGGGUCGUUUGUGUGAGGGGCUAAGUGCAUUGUGCAAGUGGAAGUGUAUAUAAAUGGGUUUUAUCCCAUUUCCUCUCAUUUCCCUUCACUUCACCAACAAAAGAGAAGAGCUUCUCUCUCUAAACCCCUCUCUCUCUCUCUUAGGGUUGCUCCCAUGGUGGAGUUUUGGUGGAGAGGAGCUUGCUUAGUGAUGAAGCAACCUCUUGUACAACAAGCUUGGCUUGGGAGAGAGCUUUGAUUUGAGGUAGGCUUUAAGAGAUUUAAGGGUUUAUGGUUAGGUUUUGUUUAAAUCCCUUAGAAAUGUGAUAAAUUGGAACCCUAGGUGAUUCUAAUCUAUGCUAUUGCAUGAAUCAUGAAGAGAUUUGAAUAUUGUGCAAAUAUUGGGAUUAUAGGGUUUCAAAAGAGGGUUUCUGAUCAUGAUGGGUUUUGGUCUUAAUUGAUCCCUUAAUUCCACAAUUGAAGGUAAAGCUGACGCGGUGGAUCGCUUAGAUUGAGGUUUUGUUGAGCUUUCGAUGGUCAAUUUGAAGAAAUUGCCAUUUCGGCUUCGUUUGCCGCAGUCGGGAGAAAUCGAUGAUGAUAAAUUGCGCAGCUUGGAUUUCCCGCUUCGUGGCGUCGACACGAGGUGGGGGGUGCUAUCCGAAAUAGCCGGAUUUCAUUCUAUAUCUAAGUUCUACAUUUUGAUCAUAUAGCAUCAUGGCGGGACGGACCGGUCCCCGUACGCGUAAAAGCAGGCAGACUGUAAGGAAGUGAAUUCUCUAAAUGCGAGGAUUGUACUCCAUCCAGGAUCGACUAAUUGUCGAGAGUAUACCCUUUGUGGGAGUUGGGAAUGUCCAAAGCACAAAAAGUGCCUUGGAGUUGAGUUCGCGAGAGCAAAUGAGGCAAAUGGCAUCAUUGGGCUGAUGUUGCUCUCGGGGACCGGUCUCUGCAGGUGAGAGACCGGUUCCCCUGGCUGGAUGUAGCGGGGUUGCGUGAUGCAACCGGUCCCUGGCAGGGAGGGACCGGUUCCCGAACGUGGUCCCAGCGAGAGAUGCCAAAAAAUUGGCUAAGUCCUGAAAAUCAAGCUCUCGGGGACCGGUCUCUCAGGUGAGGACCGGUCUCCCGAGGACCGGUCUCCCGGGGAGAGACCGGUUCCCGAACGCGUGCGCCCGAGGGAAGCUCUCGGGGACCGGUCCCAAGUCGGGGAGACCGGUCCCUCCGCGCGAAAACUGCCCAGUAAGGGCAGUGCACAGGGGUGAAAGUUGAGGGGCUUUUAUGCAAAAUGGCCUUUAUUUGAGUGGGCUGAGCCCUCUCUCUCCCUCACACUCUCUCAUUUCACUCUCUCUCACUCUCAUUUCUCUCUUGCUCUCUCUCUCUCUAGAAAGGAAAGAAGGAGAAGAAGAACAAGAAGGAGAGGAAGGAAAAGAAGAGGAAGAUAAGGAAGGAGAAGAAGAAGGAGAUCAAGAGAAAGGCUUUGAGCACCUCCAUCUCCCUCUCCUCUUCCCAUUGGUGUAGCUCUUGAGGUAAGCUACUAAACCCUAGCUUUGUAAACUUAGGGUUUUUGGGUUUUAUACCUUGGAAUGGGUCAAAUGGACCCUAAGCUAGCUUCUAAAUAGAUCAAUCCCAAGAAUCUAGGGAUUUAUUGGGUGGUUUGCUAUAGGUGCAAACCUAGGGCUCCAAAAAUGGGGUUUUUGUAAAAGUAUGAGAUUGAUCUCAUUUGAAGCCUUGGAAACCCUAUUGAUAGAUACCAAAACGCGGGGGCGAAGUCGAUUUCGGCAUUCGGCGAACCGACGUGAAGUUCUCGGCAAAAUCGGGCCGGGAUAGUUUGGAUUUGGGCGAGGAAGGCUAAAGCCUCUUCGUGAAGCUCGCCGAGAAGAAUUUCCAAAGCCUCUACAUCGAUAAAAAGGUGGGGGGUGUCAUCCGAAACUUUCGAACUCCUUUCUAUGUCUUAGAUUGCAUUUAAUCUCAUCUCUUCAUGUUGCAUUGUAGGAUUGCAUAGCAGCUCCAUUCCUUAUGCUUUCUAAUGGAUGACCUAGUGUACUUGGAACGCUUGGUAACUAGAUAGGUGAGGAUUGGGUCGGAACGUGGAUCCUAUAAUGCUAGAGAUAGAGAUGAACCCGAUGGGGGUAUUGAUGACAUAGAAAGUAGUGUUAUUGUCAAAGAACAAACGAGUGGCAUCCAAAUAUUGAAUGAUAACGAGUGGCAUUAAUGUAGUGUAAAUAACACUAGAGGUCGAUGGACCUAGGGAUAGGUGGAUCCCUUAGAAAAUGCCUUGUGAACAAUGAAUUUAGAAAACUAAAUAGCAUUGCAUGAAUGUCGGGAACCGAUGAUUCCGCGAUAGUCGUUGACCCUUGUGUAGGGCGUCCUCACUUGGAGAGGAUUCGAUUGGGUUAUUGACUCUAGUUGUAGAGCCUCCUCACUUGGAGAGGAUUGGAUUGGGUGUUGACCCUAGUUACAGUGUAUCCUCACUUGGAGAGGAUAGAUCUAGCUCACAGUCUGCGUUUAGGGUGGUAUAGCCAUCCAAUCCCAACAUGGAGGGGAUUGUCGUCGAGUACUCCGGAGUGUCGCGCGACUAGGACCACUUGGAGGUCCGGACCACAUGGAGGUCCGCAGACGGUCCCGGGCUUGGGUGCACUUGGAGCUCCCUCCCCACUUUGGGAUUUGAAGGUGAGUCAUGGGCGAGCCCUAGGGCCUCGCCACAGAUUGGGUAAAUGAAAAAGGUUAAAGGUUUAUAAAUGUCAGUGAACAUUACUAUUCGAACAUGGAUCGAAUUUGUUAGCAUGGUAGCAAACCUUUAUUAUAUGAUGCAUGCAUUCAUAUUCAUGAUUAUGGGCAUAGUAGCAUAGUUUUCCUACUACUGCAUUUACAGCUUUCAGAUACAUAUCUAUCUAUCUAUCUAUUUGUUGUUACUUGUGCCCACUUGGACCUAGUGGGGAGAUCGGCAGAGUCGGCGGCCGAGCCCACUGGGUAUGGAAGAUAGUUCUCACCCCACUCUAAUUCCAGUGGUAGGUUCAGGGCUGCAGAGAGAGGACCGCGGCAAGGGCGUCGCGCCCGACCAGUGAGACCGUGGUAGUAUAGUAGCUUUCCUUUUCGCAUUAGUCACCUAUGUAUUGAGAGAGAUUCAUGUAGGUGAGAUCGGAGAGCUAUGUAUUUUGAGGAUCAAAUGUAUUCAUUUUGGAAAAUGAUGUAAAGGUAAAGAAUGUAACUAUUGUAAUAGUUAGUAAAGUACUCUCUUUAUUUCACUCGUAUAUCUUGUGGAUUACUUGCUCUUCUUGUUGUUGGCACUGUUUGUGCCCUCGUUGAAUGUGUAUAUUUAGAGUUUAAAGUCCUGGGUAAAUUCUUAUACACAUUCCUGUGGUUGAGCCUUGGGCGGGCAGGGGAGGUGCUGUCCGUUCGGCGGUCUGUCGCCGCGGCCGAAUCGCGCCAAAUUGGUAGNCCCUCGUUGAAUGUGUAUAUUUAGAGUUUAAAGUCCUGGGUAAAUUCUUAUACACAUUCCUGUGGUUGAGCCUUGGGCGGGCAGGGGAGGUGCUGUCCGUUCGGCGGUCUGUCGCCGCGGCCGAAUCGCGCCAAAUUGGUAGUGGUUUCGGGGCGGGGCGUGACACAAACAGCCUCUGCUCGCAAAGGCUGCUCUCGGGGACCGGUCCCUCUAGGGACAGACCGGUCCCCGAGCGCGAAAAUUGCCCAGGCAGACUGGGUCAUAUUGGAAGAGUGGAGGGGUUUAUUAGCAAUUGUUACAUGAGUUGAGGGGUAUAGAGGGGAAUGAGCUCUCUCUCUCGCCCCCUCAUUUCUCUCCCAACACUCAACCCUAGCUCUUCCUUUCUCUCUCUAAACUCCUUUCUCUCUCUCUAGAAGGUGAAGGAGGAGAUUUUGGUGGAGGAGCAAGCAAGGAGGAGGGCUAGCAUCAUCUUCUUCUUCCUCUCCUCCAUUAGAGCAAGUUUCUUGAGGUAAGCUUUGAGAGCUUUCAUGGUAGAUCCCUCUAGAUGGAUUUUUAUCUUCUAGAAUUGGUUUUGUUGGAACCCUAGCUUGCCAAAUAGAAGGUUUAUACUUGAAUCUAGGAUUUGAGAUGGGAUUUUUGCAAGUUGCAAACCUAGGGUUCCAAAUUGGGGUUUUUGGAAAUAGAGGGUUUUGAUCUAAAUUGAUCAUGUGUUAACCUAAUUACUAGGUAUCUAAACGCAUUGGAAAGGUCGGUUCGUCGAUUCAUCGAGCCGGUGCAAAGAUAUUGCCGAAACAAGCGUUUGAGGCUUCGUAUUGACUCGUAGAGUUGAAGCGACGACCGGGGAUCGCGAAGUCGAGUACCUAGCCUCGCUACGUUAUCAAGAGGUAGGGGGUGUCAUCCUCCUCCCUAUGUCUAAGUACUUAUAUGUUGAUCAUAUUCCAUAUGUGUAUAUCAUGCAUAUUACGGUGUUUAGAUGUUGCAUUUACUAUUCUUGCAUGCUCCUUAUAGUGUGGCAUAGUAGGCUUGACACGUGAACAUAGGGUGCAUGAGAAUGAGCUAUUGUGACAUAGAACCCUAUAGAGAUAAGUUAAAUGAUAACUUGAUCUUGCAUCGAUGAUAUAUGACUAGUAUAGUCAAGACAUUGCAUUAUGACGAGUGGCAUGUGAACCAAGUAAACAACUUGACGAGUGGCAAUAGAAUUUAGUGUUAAAGGAACACUAGUGACAUGAUGGAAUUAGGGGAUAGGUGAGUCUCCCCAUUUGACACUGUCACGCCCCGAGCCCGCUACCACUUUGGUCCGGUUCAGGCGCGUCAAACAGACGCCGAAUGGACAGAACCUCCCCUGUCCGCCCAAGGCUCAAGCGACUAGAUCGUGUACAACAAGUUCCAAGAAAUACACUUGAAUACAUACACGAUCAAACAACAAAAGCAAGAGCACAGACAGUGCUAAACAAAUCAAGAACAAGCAUCACGAGUAACGAACAUACAAGUGAAUAGAAGAAAGAGAUACUACACUAAUACAUUUAUUUAACCACUUUAAAACAUUUGAUUACAUUUAACUUCCAAAAUGCAAACAUAAGCCUUACAUUACAUUCAUCCCAAAAUACCUCACAUCCUAUACAUCAUCUACUCUCAAGCAUAUGUACAAGGUAGCUCUAAUGCAAUAGGAAGGUAUACUACCAACGCUAGGGCGCUAAGCCCUUACCAUGAUCCUCAGCUGGCGCACCCGAACUCAGACCUGCAACAAAGUGGGGUGAGAACUAUUGUCCAUAGUUCCCAGUGGGUUCGGCCGCCGACUCCGUCGAUCUCCCCACUAGGUCUAAGCAGGCAUAGGCAGAUAGAUAUAUAGAUAGAUAAACGGGAAAGUGAUAAUAAUAAGAAGUAACAAUAAGUAAAGGUGAAAGUACCCUACCAUGCCUCAAUUCAAUAUCAUGCAUGCAUGCAACUCAUAGUAAAAGAACUAGCUACUAUGCUACUAUGUUCAACAAUAAAGUUCAUUAAACUGUUUACCCAAUUGCUUGGCCAACCCACGGGUUUGCCUCAAACUCUCAUCUCAAAGUCUCAAAGGGGGAGGAGACUUUAAACGGUCUACCCACCGAGACCGCCUGCGGACAAGUACGUUAGUCCAACCUGUGACAAACCUCCAGAGUGCACGGCUUGUGUGGAGUGACCACGACAAGCGCAACAGGCUACACAGCACGAUCCAAUCCUCAAACUAGAGAUGAUACCGUACCGACUAGGGUUAUAUUCAUCAAAUCCAACAUAUGUUCAAUACUCAACCUCCUAGUGCUUCAACUACACUAAGGUACUCGUAUGCCACUCGUUAUAAGUUUACAUUGACUAGCUGCCACUCGUUAUAGUUCAAUGUUUUCAUACGCUAGCUAUAUUCUACUAGGUUUUUUUUUCAUCCACAUAAGCACAACCACUUGGUUAUCAUUUGCCUAGAUUCUAAUCCAUCACGUAUCAUCUCAUAUAGGGUUCAGUUAUACAAACUAACAUCAUGCAUACUAGAUUCAAGUGUUAUAUCAACCAAGCUACAUUAACACUAGCAUGCAAAUAUGGUUACAAGUAUCUAAAUACCCUAUAUGUAUUAUGCUCAAUAUGCAACAUAGUCAACAAUAAACUUAGACAUAGGGAGCAGCUCAACUGCUUUGGGAUGGUCACCACCCACCUUUUGAUAGUGCCGCAAGGUUAGGAAACUCGACUUUGCGAUCCUUGGUCGCCGCCUUGACUCUUCGGGUCAAUACGAACCUACGAGCACUUGUUUCGGCGAUACCUCCGUACUCGCUCGACGAAUCGAUGAACCGUCUUCGCCAACGCGUUUAGAGACCUAGAAAUUAGGUUUACGACCAAUUAAAAGAGAUCAAAACGCAUUAACUAUCAAAAACUCAUUUUGAUGCCCUAGGUUACAAUCAAUGGGGAAAACCAUGAUUCAAGCCCCAGAUUCAUGCUAGAAUCAUCCUCCUAGCAUCAAUAGGUCUCAACAAAAAAAUCUCCAAGCUAUAAAAACCCAAACCCAAAAAGAUACCAUUGUAGGGUUUAGAGCUUACCUCCAAAAGCUUCUCCAAACUUGAGGAAGAAGAUGAAGAAGGUGAUGCUCUUCUUCUUUGUCUCCUUCUCCUUCUACUCCUUCUCCUUCUUCUCUAGUUUCUUUUCUUUCUAGAGGGAGAGAGGGAAAGAAAAUGUGAGUGUGGGAGAGGGGAAAUGGGAAAAGAGAGAGAGGAAAUACCAUAUAAUUGCUGAAACACCCUUCAACUUUGCUAUAAUUGCUGAAACACCCUUCAACUUUGCUUAUAUCACCCAGCCCAACCUGGGCCAUUUCGGCUACGAGGACCGGUCCCUCUGAGGGAGGACCGGUCCCCGAGAGCAAUUCCCAAUAUCAUGCGUACGAGAACCGGUCCCCUCCCUGAGGGACCGGUCCCCGAGAGCAUUUCUGGGCAGCAAGCUUACGGGAACUGGUCCCCUCCCAGAGGGACCGGUCCCCGAGAGCUGGAAAUCUGCAUUUAUGCAGAUUUUUGCACAGUUUCUCUCGCGGGUCCUUCUUAAUGCACUUUUUGCAUUUUUGAUGUUUUCAGACUUUCCGAAACACCCCAACUCGACAACUAGUUGACUUUAAACGUAGUCUAACUCUCGAAUUUCGAGAAUUCACUUCCUUACAGACAUCUUGCAUGAGAUCGGUGUGACAGUGUUGACCCUAGAGACAGGAUAUCCUCAGUGGACGAGGAUUCGAUCAUACUCACAUAGUCUGUUCAGCGCUUGUGGCGGUCGCUCCGCACAAGUAGUGCUGUCACGCCCCGAGACCGCUACCAAUUUGGUCCGGUCCGGGCGCGUCGAACAGACGCCGAACGGACAGGACCUCCCCCGUCCGCCCAAGGCUAACCAACUGAUCAUGUAUAAGAAUUUACCCAAGAAUCAAUUCAUGAAUACACGAUCACGAGUGGCACCACCAGUGCCAACCAACACAAGAGCAAGAUACAAGUAUGAGACAUACAAGUAAAUAAAGAGAGAAGGUUCUAUCUAUUACAUUCAUUCAACUUAAUACAUUUAAUUCCACCUUUCACAUUCUUCCAAAACAUGUAUACAAGCACUCUCAAACCUCACCCUAUACAACAUCUACUCUCAACAUAAAUACAGGGUAGAGCUACUGCAAAAUGGGUGGAUAGCUAAUGCAACUAGGGCGCUAAGCCCUUACCAUGAGCCUAGCGCUCGCCGGGGACACCCGAGCUCGAACCUGAAAAGAGUGGGGUGAGAAUUUUCUUCCAUAGUUCCCAGUGGGUUCGGCCGCCAACUCCGCCGGUCUUCCCACUAGGUCCAAGUGGGCACAGGUAGAUAAACAGAUAGAUAGAUAUGGAAAGCUGUAAUAACAGAAUAGCAAAGCUACGCUACCGUGCCCGAAUCAUAUAUAUAAAGAUGCAUGCACAAUGAAAUGGAUAAUCAACUAGCUCUUCAUAUGUCCAAGAAGUAAGGUUGUUUACUUGUUUAUUAAUCUCGUGGCUCAUUCAAGGAUCCGCCUACUACUCACAUAGCCGUCUCGAUACUACGAAUCCGAGACUGUCUGCAGGACCCCACAUAGGCCAUCCCUCGGGACCCCAAAUAGGCCAUCCCUAUCCCACGGGACCCCAAAUAGGCCAUCCCUCAUGACUGACUCCGGAGCGCACAACUUGUGUGGAGCGACCACCACAAGUCGGGAACAGACAAUGAGUAGGAUCCAAUUCUCUCACCUCAAGGGUAUCCUGUUGUAACGCACUGGACCUUGCAAAUUGCAGGGUUCGAGUGAUUGAUUGUGUCCUGAGCUUUUCCAGACCUUCUGGUGGGUCGUUGACAGUGUUUCGACCUAUGGUUCGAGUCCCGAGAAUUGAGGUUUUAAGCUUGGCACCAAAACCCGAAAAGUCGGAUUUUUGGUCAGCUCUCGGGUAGGCAUCAGCAGACCGCGUACCGGUACGGGGUUGCUUGCUGUACCGGUACGGGGUUGAUGGCUGUACCGGUACGAGCUCGCGUAUCGGUACACAGAGCACUUCUCAGCGAACCCGAGGCUCGGGUUUGGCAUUUUCGUGGGUUGUGUACCGGUACGCGGGCCCCUGUACCGGUACGCAGUGCAAUUUCUGAGCAGUUCGAACUGCAGGGGUGUUUUUGCGAUUGUGGCUACUCUAUAUAACACCCAUGCCCCUUGGACCUCUCCUUGAGCUUGGAACAGCAGACGAAGAGGUAGGGUUGCCCUCUCCACCAUUCCAUUUGGUUUUGAUCCUCUUUUAGCUUAAGUUUUGGUGGAUUAAACCUCUCUUUUGUUCCUUUUGCUUGAUUGGAGGCUUUCCACCAGGAGUUUAGCUUAAGUUUUGGUGGAUUAAACCUCUCUUUUGUUCCUUUUGCUUGAUUGGAGGCUUUCCACCAGGAGUUUAGCUUAAGUUUUGGUGGAUUAAACCUCUCUUUUGUUCCUUUUGCUUGAUUGGAGGCUUUCCACCAGCGAGCUCUGGACUAGCGAGUCUUGAUAGAGCGAAGGAACUUCAACCGUAGAGCACUUGGAGCUUGUUGCGGAGUUCUAGAGACCAAGAGGUAGUAGACAUGUGCUUUUUUGCCGACAUGUUUGAUUGGAUUUAUGCUAGAUAUGAAACCCUAGGAUUUGGCCAUAUUAGGGUAUUAAAUGGGGAUUUGUUGAUUUGAGACGGCUUUGAAACCUAUUUGAUGCCGUGUUUAGAACCUUUGUUAUAGGUUAGCAUUAAGAACAUCAAAAUCAAAAAUGAAGGCAUCUAACUCCAUUUGGAGAUCGUGAGAGCUUCCUUCGCAAACUCGGUGACUUUUCUUCAACCUAGCCCGAAAUAGGUUAUUGUUAUUGAAGCCAAUCAGUUGUUAGUUGUUUAGGAUAACACUUGUUCCUACAUUUAGGGUAUUUGGAGGCUAUGCUGGACACCUUGUUCGGGAAACGAAAUGAGUUCGAAAGAUUGGUGCGGUUUACUUCAAGUGGAAAUGGGCAAAUGGCCCCUAUGUUCCCAUAUAUUGUAGCGUAAGUAUUUUUAAGCAUUUCUAUGCUAAUUGGAAUUUAUGUGAAUUUUAGCAACACUUAAAAUGCCCAUGCGUUAUGUGUAAGUUAAAUGUUCACUCUAUAUAGCUGGUUUAUUAGGUUAAUUUCAAUGCUGUGAGAGGAAUGCCGGAUUUCGUUUCUAGUAUGCUAAAUUAGCUCUUAUUACGUGGUAUGUGGAACAUUGUACUAUGUUAUGAUUUGAUAAUAGUUCAUCAAGAGGCCUUGAAAUAGUAAAUAUGAAACUACAAACAUAGAGACAUAAUGUUAGGCAUUGUACAUCUGCCUAUAUCAUAUUCCAUGUUAGCAAGAUGCCAUGACAUAGAGAUAGCGCCUUUGGGACAUUCGCAGUACCAUUCCAAUGUUAUUAGACAUGAGACUUUAGUAUUGCUGACAGACAUCUGACUACUUGACAUGUGCUCAUAUCGCAACAUGCUUAUUCGAGGUCGCUCCCUACAGCCGGGCACUCCGAGAUAUCCAUCGCCGAUCAAUUCGCCCAUGCGGGGUGGCCGCCGAAGUGGAUUGCCGUGGCAGGCUCUAUUCCUAGGGUGGCCGAUUGAUGACUACCCACGAGACAUUAGGCUCGCACGCAGACAGCGUACGGUGCGGUCCAAAGCCAUUAACAGCUCUUCGUGGUCUCUUCAGAUUUGUCUUUGAGUAUUCACUAUGACAUGUGGACAGAUGAUGACUUAGUGUAUUGACUGGACAUCGACUAGAAAUGUAAAUAAUAACAUCUUUACUAAUUGCAUUGAGGACAUCGUAUUGGUUGCAUACCUAUGAGCAUUCAUGUAUACACAUCCAUGUACAUUAUGUAUAGUUGCUUAUUCUUAUGCCUAUCAUGCUAAGUAGAGACAUCUGGUUAUAGUAUGUUACACUUUUACUUACCUUUCGCUUUAUUGCUUUCAUAGUUACUGACCACUUCCCUUGUAGCUUUGGGCCUUGUGGUGCAUUCACUGAAGUCAGUAAUUGCCCAUUAGGAACUAUUUUUAAUAGUUCUCACGCCCUCUUUUUGUGGUUUCUUUCAGAGCCUUCUGCACCGGCGGAGGCACGGGAUCGCGGCAAGGGGAUCGCAUAGCUAGCUAGCGAGGAGCGGUUCUUUGCCUAGGUGGUUUACUCUUUCUUUUUAUAGUUGAGAGAGUGAGAGUUUUUGUAUCCAUGUAUAGAGACCACCUAUGUAUCUACCUUUAGCACUUGUAUUUGGGAUUUCCUUUGUAUUACUUUAUACUUUUAUUAGUGGAUCCCAGCUUUGUGUUCCUUUCUCUAUUGUAGAACUUAGUAUUAUAUCAUGCUCUGAUACUCUUAGAAGUCUUUUAUUACUGCUUUUAUUAUCGUUGCUAUUAGACGUCUUAUAUGUUUUAGAAAUAUGGCGGGUCUGGGCACACGCCGGGCGGGCUUCCGCUGGGUCCCGAGGCGUGACAGAUAAAUUUGGUAUCAGAGCCUAGGAUUGAGUCUUAGGGGACCUAGCAAACCUUAGGCCGGUUGGACUAUAGAAAAUAGGCUCGUGAGAGACGAGGUCUAUUUGAUUCGCGAAGCGAAAGUACCAUGAUUGGGUAUCUUGAUAACUCUAAAAAGUUAGAGUUGGAUCGAAGUGUCUGGCUUCUAACUUCGCGGAGGGUUACGUUUGCGGCCGACAACGUAACAUCGGGAGUUAGUAGUGUAUAACACUUCUUUACUUUCGCAUGAUUUGGGUAUUGCUUAUUGGGCGAGGAUGAGAUAGCGCGGGUUUUACUAACUUGCGCUUUCAUGUUUUGUAGUGACGAUGCCGAUUACACGCUCUCAAUCUGCCGGAGCGGACAAUACGGCGAACUUUGAGGAGGUCGAGACCUCCGCUACCUCCGGAUCCAGCGAGGUUCGUGAGUUGAGGGGCCAGCUUGCGGCCCUCACUGAUUUAGUCACUCAGCAGGCGGAGGCGGCCCGACAGCAGACUUAGGCGGCGCGCCGACAGGAGGCGCGGAUGAAGCACCUGGAGGACCUUUUACUGUAGCAGGCAGCAGCCUCUAGGGAGACUCAGGACCCUACACCGCCAGCACCAGUUGUGGACGUCGCACCGAGAGCGCCGUCCCCCGCGCCGAGUUCUUCGCGUGCGGCGCCUGUGGCCGCACCCCAGGAGGAGGUUUUGGUGGCACCACCUGUGCAGAGGCCCCCGGUUGGAGCUACAUUCCCUACCUUGGUUGAGGGGGCGGAGCGAGACAGACUGAUAGAGCGCCUCAAUAAGUUCAGGCGGUGCAGUCCUCGAGUCUUCGACGGCAAGAAGGUCGACCACUGGAUUGUGGAGAAGUGGUUGAUGCAUAUGGAGAAGCUCUUCCGCGACACCUUCAUGGAGGAGAGGGAUCGAGUUUGGCUCGCCACUCACCACUUGGACGACGAGGCCUACCGCUGGUGGUUGGAUCUCCAGGAGCACCCCAGCACUGACUUGGCGGCUAUCACUUGGACGAGGUUCAAGGAGCUUCUUUUGGCCCAUUACUUUCCGACUAGCGUCAUGCGAAAGAUGGAAACCUACGCAACUUGCGCCAAGGCGACCGGACUGUGGCCGAGUACGAGCGGGAGUUUUCUCGUCUUUUGCAUUACGUGCCUUUCGUCGUGCGGGACGACGAGCACAAGGCACGCAUUUUCAAACGAGGAUUGAGACCGUCCAUCUUUCGGUUCGUGCAAUCCUCUAACCUCCAAACCUACCAGGAGGUAGUGGAUCGCGCGCUCAUUGUGGAGAGCGGCGCGACAGAUGUCCAGGAGCAGCGAGAGGCUAGGGACAAGGGUAAGGCCAAGAGGCCUGCGGCAGAGGGUGCGAGCCAGACGCACUCUAGGAGGCCGCCGAAACAUCCGAGGAGUCAGCAGUGUGGACGCGGCUCAGCAGCCUAUCGAGGAGGAUCCGAUCGGCACCGGCCUUCCCCGUGUGUGAUCUGCGGUGGUCCCCAUUUCCGACCGCCGUGUCGACAGCGGGCGGGCAGGUGUUUCCAGUGUGGCCAGGAGGGCCACGUUCGUACUGAGUGCCCGAGAGGUUCUUCACCGGCACCGUCGACUGCAUCGGCACAGGCCCUACCAGCCGCCAGCCAGGGGACUCCAUUGGCGCAGUACCAGUCUGGGCGGCCACUCAUCCAGCGCCAGAGCGAGGGAUCCCGACAGGCCCUGAGUGGGCGCAUGUAUGCCGCUCAGACCGAGGAGGCGGCAGCAGCCAAGGAUGUGGUUGCAGGUAUCAUUUUACUUGAUGGCAUUAGAGUACGUGCUUUAUUUGAUACCGGUGCAUCGUAUUCAUUUAUAGAUCGGCUGUUUGCCGAGUUGCAUGGCAUCCCAUUGGUUUCUUUGUUGCAUCCGGGACACGUUGUUGUACCCAAUCACAUUUUGGAUAUUAGAGAGUACAGCCCCAGUUGCCCUGUUCGGAUAGGAGAUUGGAUCAUGCCGGUAGAUUUGCUAGCUUUGCGCAAGCUUGGGGAUUUUGAUGUAGUCUUGGGAAUGGAUUGGUUAACCAAAUAUUAUGCCACGAUUGAUUGCAAGAAUCGCACGGUUACUUUUAGAGAACCGGGGCAGACCGAGGUGAUAUUUAGUGGAUGCUGGAGUUCGCUGUUUGCGAUGACGAUCAGCUCGUCUCGAGCUAGGCAGGUGAUCAGCAGAGGUUGUGUAGCCUAUUUGGCUAGUGUUGUGCUGAGGGGCGAGGAUGACACCCCUAGGAUCGAGGAUAUUCCGGUGGUGCGGGAGUUCCAGGAUGUGUUUCCAGCUGAGCUACCGGGCAUGCCUCCUGAUAGGGAGAUUGAGUUUGUGGUAGAUCUCGUCCCUGGGACUACCCCAAUCUCAAAGGCACCCUAUAGGAUGGCACCGGCAGAGCUGAGGGAGCUGAGGGCACAGCUGUAGGAUUUGUUGGACAAAGGCUUCAUACGGCCGAGCGUUUCACCUUGCGGAGCACCCGUUUUGUUCGUCAAGAGGAAGGACGGAUCACUUCGCCUUUGCGUGGACUAUCGUGAACUUAAUAAGGUCACGAUUAAGAACAAGUAUCCGUUGCCGAGGAUCGACGACUUGUUUGAUCAGCUUCAGGGAUCGUGUGUGUAUUUCAAGAUAGACUUGCUGUCACAGCCCGCGAGCCCCGCCUAUUUGGUCGAGGUCGCGGCGCCGACAGCGCCGAACGGACCGGGGAUUCCCCUGUACCGCGGACAGAGUCUCCCCUGUACGUUCAAGGCAUCGCAAUCAAUACAAUUACAACAGGUUCCAAACAGGAACAGUAUUCAACAUACAACGAUUGCAUAAGGAAGGUAUCAAACAACAUAAACACAUCCUAAGUUAUUACAAGCAUUCACAUUCAUACUUUUUACAUCCCAAUUACUAUUCCUUUACAUCCCAAUGCAAUCUAAGUUAUUACAUCAUUUACUCAUUACAAUUUGAUACAUUGUGUUCUUUCUAUUUUCUAUACCCCUAAGCUAUGUCGACGGGGUACUACUAGCUCUGGUCUCUGUGGUAGGGUGCUAACUACGGAGCUACGCCCUCGCCUCGCGCCAUCGCGCCGCACUCGUGCAAACCUGUAACACCCCAAAAGCAACGUGGGGUGAGAACUAACUCCAUAGUUCCCAGUGGGUACGGCCACCCAAGGAAAAAGCUCGACCGACAUGUCCGAAGGAGGCAAGCUACAGGUUAGUUCAAUAAACAGAUAGAUAUGAUAAUAAGAUCAUGCAACUAACAAUGCCAUGCAUUGCCUCGCGAUAUGCAAUCUGAAGAUCAUGCAAUAAUGCAACUAUACAACCAACUAGUAAUUCAAUCGAUUACUACUUUCAUCCAAUUGACAUUUAAGGUUUUCUGUCAUGUACCAUUUUAAUCAUAAGGUUUCAUCUACCUUUACAAAGCUAGCCGCCCGACUCGGUCUUGAGUCAAUCAUCUGCGGAGUACCGCACAAAGCCAGGCACGAGGCGAAGGACAUCUCACUUGCACCUCGGCCUUAAAUCCCCUCAAGUAGGACAAUCACUAUAGGUCAUAAGCUUGUUACCCAAUCACUUGGCUAACCCGAAGGGGGUCGCCCUCAAUCUCACAUCUCAAAGUCUCAUAGGGGAGAAGUCUCACUGAACUGUCCCCCGAGACCGCCUGCGGACAGCACACAGACCGUCCAGACAGCACACUGACUGUUCCCCUAGUGACCAACCUCCGGAGUGCACAGCUUGUGGGGAGCGACCCCUCCAAGCGCAGACAGGCUAUGUGAGCACGAUCAACUCACGAACAGCAGCAACCUACCCUCUAAGGGUAAUCUCAUCAUGGAAUCAAGGUAUAAUUGUACCCAAUCUCAUAGUGUCUCAACUACACUAAUGUUCUCAUAUCAAGGUCAUCAACAAUCAUAUGCCAUUCAUCAUAGUUUUCUAACUAGAUGCCACUCGUCAUUUAGACUCAUCAUCAACACUAGUUACAUCAUACUAGUUCUUUAGCAACAUAAGCAUCAACCAUCACAUAUAGGGUCUAGGUUCUUAUCCACAUUUAUCAUCCCAUUGUAGGAAACCAAACAUAUCAUUAUAUUAAUACUACAUUGUAUUCCUAAUGUCAAGUUUUCUAAUCAUCCAAGAGUUUUAGACCCAAGUCAACAUGCAUAUGCUAAUUAGCAUAUGUUACUCAACAUAGUCCACAAAUACAUUAACAUGCUUAUGUUCCAACUUGCAUAAUAUAACCUAUGCAUUCAUACAACAUCAUUUUCAUGCAUCUCUCUAACAUUUAGUUCAUGCAUCUCUCUAACAUUUAGUUCAUGCUUUCAUCUAACAUUCAACAUAUUAAUUGCCAUUGUCCACUAGCAUGCAUUAUAUUCAUAUGCAAUUAUCAUGUAAUAUACAUUUCUCACAUUAUAUGCAUUUACCCAAUCUUCACAUCAUAUGCAUCAUAUAGCAUUUAACCCAUUAUAUGCAUCAACUAGGAAAUCAUAUUUUUUUCUUCGACAUGAGGGCGACCUAGUCGCUUCGGUAAGCACAACCCCCCUGUUAGCGCAUUCCGAUUGCUUGUCGACACUUGCAAUCGGCCUCCCGCGGCAUCCGGUGCCCGGUUUGGCGUGAUCUCUCGCGCGAUCACCCGAACAGCCUCCAAUUCACAAUCCGAAAAUUAAAGGUCUUCGGUUAUGUGCCACGAUGCUUCAAAUCCGUUUUCAUGAGUAUACGACGUCGCCUCGGCCCUCCAGGCGAAAAUGAAGCCUAAACGUCCGUUUCUUUAAUAACUUUGUAACGGCUCGUCGGAUUGCCGAACCGUCUUCGCCAACGCGUUUCGUUACCUAGCAAUUAGGUUUACGGAGGGUCAAAUUAGAUCAAACCCUCAUAUUUUAAAAAUUAGCAUUUUGAACCCUAGGUUUACAACUAGAUAAAAAUCCACCAAAUUUCUUCGUGAAUCAAGCAUCAUUCAUCUAGUUAGCGUGCUAGGAUUCCUCUAAAUCCAUUUGUAAGGUAUUUAGACCAACCAUUAAGGAUCUACCAUUAAAGGGGUUUGAAGCUUACCUCUCAAGCAAGCUCCAAUGGAGAGGAAGAACAUGAAGGAGAUGAAGAUCCAUUUCCAAGCUUGCUUCUCCACCAAUUUCAUCAAUUUUGGGAGAGAAUUAGAGAGAGAAAAGGGAGGUUUUGUCUCUCCCAUUCCAUGUAUGCGUGUGUGUGCGUGAUGCGUGUGUGUGUGUGUUGCAUUCGGCUGAGGAGGAAGGAGGAGAAAAGGGAUUUAAUCCCAUUUUGCAAGUUAGCCCCUCAACUAUUCAACCUUCCAAUUUAGUCNUUUUUCUUCGACAUGAGGGCGACCUAGUCGCUUCGGUAAGCACAACCCACCUGUUAGUGCAUUCCGAUUUCUUGUCGACACUUGCAAUCGGCCUCCCGCGGCAUCCGGUGCCCGGUUUGGCGUGAUCUCUCGCGCGAUCACCCGAACAGCCUCCAAUUCACAAUCCGAAAAUUAAAGGUCUUCGGUUAUGUGCCACGAUGCUUCAAAUCCGUUUUCAUGAGUAUACGACGUCGCCUCGGCCCUCCAGGCGAAAAUGAAGCCUAAACGUCCGUUUCUUUAAUAACUUUGUAACGGCUCGUCGGAUUGCCGAACCGUCUUCGCCAACGCGUUUCGUUACCUAGCAAUUAGGUUUACGGAGGGUCAAAUUAGAUCAAACCCUCAUAUUUUCAAAAUUAACAUUUUUGAGCCCUAACAUGAAAUAACCUCCAAAUAAUCCAAAUUAAAUGGAGCAAUAUGCUAAUAAUGAUCAUUAGAGACUACUAGAACUCUUAAAGCUAAGGAUUAAGCCAAAUCCCAAAAGCUUACCCCAAUGUGAACGCCGCAACGAAAACACGCCGCUCCAACGGGCGCACGAAAGCUCGAUCCGUCGCCUCCAACGCGUUCGCAAGCUCGAUCUCCACCAACCCUCCAAUUUUUAGAGAGAGAUAUAGAGAGAUGAGAGAGAUAUUUAGAGAGAGAAAGGAGGGUUUCUCUCCCCCUUCCAUGCGUGCGUGUGUGUGUCCAUGGUGGCGGUGGUCGGUUGAAGGAGAAGAAGCUGAUGCUUCUAAUUAAAGUCAACACCAACAUUAUUCACUCCAAGCAACUUAAAAUCUGAUAUCUUUCACCGGAGCUCCCUGAAUGUCCGUUUGAGCUCAAACUUGACAGUCAUGUUCGGUUUUACGUACUGAGUAAGAAUAUAUUUUAAGUUUUCAGUUUCGACCCCGUUUGGUUACCGAAAACUGUACCGAACUGUAAUCUUUAUCAGAUAACUGUCGGAUUUUAUUUCUCACUCUACGGGCGUCAGAAAAAUAUGAAACUUUAAAUCUAGCCUCAUUAAAAUAUUACUGACAUCCCCGCCAAUUUUCAUAAUUUUCUGAGACUGUGCAUUUUCUACUAAUUUAUCUGUCCCGUUUCUCACAGAAAAUUUUAAAUUUUUUAUUUUCGCUCCGAUUUCAGCACAAAUCAUUUCUGAUUUAUGUUUUACUCCUCUAAAUCCAAUAAAAAUAGUAUCUCACACUAUUUUUAUUUAUUUUUUAUUUUUAUAUUUAAAAUCCGGUAUGUUACAUUACACCGUAACUUCACCGGAACCAUUUAAAUGUACACCGUAACUUCAUA